rnacentral:lncRNA from 1 species
GACUGAGGAACUGAAACUUCCGCGUAGUGCUUCCCUUGUUCAUUGAUAGUAAUCCUGAAGUUUCUUCUUGGCAUCAAAAUAGAUCAAUGAAAGAGGACUAAAAAUAAGACGAAAGUACUUAUGACGGCUUUCCUUCCAACAAAUCUUCGUUCUUAGUUAUUUGAUUCCACUUUCAACUUUCUGGGAGUUGUCUUCUCCUAGGCUUUCUUCUUUCUGGCAGUCUUCUGCCUUGCCGUAGGGAGUAGGUUCAGGAGAACCAUAACCAUAAAUCAGAGAGACGGAGCAUCAAUCACGCAUAUUCUUUGCACCUCUUCCUUUAAGCUAUAUUUUUUAGGCUCCGGAGGCUCAAAGACAGGGAUAUUGUUGAAUACUAUUGGUUCGAGUCGCAGAGAGCAAAGAAUUUUCUCUUAAUGGAACUUAGCGCGAGUUAAUAUGGAUAGGACUGAGGUCUUAAGACUCCUAACUAUUAAUGGAAAGGACCCACGGAGCGGUGCAAAGAAUAUAUUAGAAGGGCAGACAGGUCCGGAGGACCUGUCUGUCCUUCGUCUUAAUACUCCUAACGUCGAAUAAGAAGCUGGAGGCUGGGUCCAGGUGCAAAGAAUAUUGUGUCCAUUAGAUCCAUUGAAUUAGGCGAAGGAUUUUAUCAAGCUUAGCUUUCUGGAUUCUUCGGCGGAGUGGGGCUUUCUCUAGUAGGUCUGGAGGCUCAAAGAAUGAUCGAAGGCUCCGGACCAUAAAGAAGAGAGUCGGAGGACUUCCAUUGACUUUUUCUUCCUUUCACUUCUAACUUCAAACCUUUCAUAUUCAACCUUGAAAAUAAAGGAGGGAGCGGACUAGAGGCCAUAAGUUUGAGUUCCUCAGAUGUAUAAAAACAAGUCCUCCGCGACGACCUAUCCACUGAAAGUAGCUACGUAGUCUUGUCUCCUUCCCCGCGUAGUGGGCAUUGACUUCUUCAUUGAUUUUCUUCUAUCUCCCACGUAGCGGUUGAAUAUGAAAGGAAGCCCACAGAGCUGAAGAUGGAGCGGGAUAAUAAAGAAGAAAGCUCAAAAGGAGGGAGCGGACCUCAAUGAACAAAGGACUCGUUUUCAUCCUUAUGGAAGAAAAAUCUCUUUUUUUUAUCUAAAAGACGUAGAAGGAGGCUCAAUGUCUAAUCUUUCUCUCAAAUCAAUAUCCCCCAGUGCAAAUAUUCCAGCAAUAUUCUCAAUAUGAAAAGAGCCUUUCUUCUUUUCUUAGAUAAAUGCGCUUCGUAGAUUAUGCUGAAGGAGGAGUGGGCCAUGAUCUUUGCUCCUUAAUUUCCCUAAUGGAUAGUCAUCUGGACCUUUCUUUUUAGUUCUUUGCGCUCGUCAACGCAUAUUUCAUUGCGCCUUCGCCUUCAAUGAAAUCCAUAAAUAAAUAAGGGUAGAUUUCAGACUCAAGAGGAGGGUUCCUUAUCAAUAUCAAUGAGACGGAUAGGCUUUCUUUUACAUUCCACAGGUCCGAAGGACUAUCCAUAUUAACAUGUCUGUCCUUCGCCUAACUAGUUCAUAUAGACCUUUGUUUUUCUUCCGCAGUCACUAAUAUGGAUAGUCCGGAGGACCUCCUUCAGCAUAAUCUAUGAAUGAUCGGAGCAAAGAAUAUUGCGGAAAAGAAGAAAGGAGUGCAAGCGAAAAAUAAUGGAUUGAAUAGUCCUUCGGACGACUACCGCACUUGGGGAUAUUGUUGAGAAAGAAUAUUGAAAAAGAAUGAUCGAAGAAUAUUGAAAAAGGACGGAGGAUAGGCUUUCUUUGAACAAUGUGGAUGUAUCAAAGAUUCCACAGGUUAAUAUGGUAGAUUUCAGACUAGUCCUUCACCUUGGAUCUGGGGACUAUUCUCUGUUCUAAUAGACAGAGGAGAGGUUCAAAGAAUAUUGAGAAUACUCGUGCAAGCGCAAUCAAUGAACAAGGUGAAAAGAACAAAAAAAAAAGGCGGUCGAUGAUCAGGAAGAAAAAGUCAAAAGUCUAUCCCAUCUUCUUCGUUAGGCGCAAAGAAGAAAAAUAAGGUGCAAAGAUCUAUGGCCCAAUUAUAAGGGGUCCAGAUGCACCAUAAGACUGGUCCGAAGGACUAUCCAUAUUAACCGGAGUCUUCAACAAGAUUUCCAACCCUGAAUAUUAAGCUACUGAGGCCCAAUAUUGCGAAGGAAGAACUGCGCCAUAAGACAGGUCCGAAGGACUAUCCAUUAGGGAAUGAGACGGAGGUAAGUUUGGUUUUUUGGAAAACUUGUUGGCGCGAUUAGUGCGUUUUUUUUGGAAAGUAACAAUUCUCUUCAUUUGUUUUCAGAAAACUUGUUGGUCCACGGAUUAGUGCGUUCUGCGCCGCCUGGUGUCUGCAAACAUAUUUUUCCAAAGUGUGUUUACCUUUGGUUAUAUGCUCCGAUUACCCCCAGUUUAUCUCAUCUUUAGUUUGCAUAACUAGUUUAGCUGUUUGCUUUUCAUUAUAGGUCAUAAAGCUUGGGUGUGACGUUUCAGCAUUUUCAUAUGCAAGCCUGCCAGAGAGGAAAAUGUUCAAAAUGUACUAUAGGGGAGGCAUACCAGUUGAAUCCCCGCCCAAGCAUUAGUUGUACUCUUUGCAAGCAACCCUUUUUCCUUGCAAUUGGCAGUCUUUAAUGCUUAUUGUAACGUCUAUUUCAAUGUAUUUCUUUCUUUCCCGUGUUUUAUAAAUAAAAUGUCCCUAAAACGCAAACGAAGGUUACGACAUACAUCGACGUUACCCACAACUCUUGGAUAUUGAUCGACUGACUUGUUCAUCGAGUUAGAACAAGUGCCGCACAAUCGUCCGUCUCGAGGUUGAAACGCUACGAUUGUGACAAGUGGUAUCAGAGCCAAAGUUGGUUGAGUGACAGUUUUGACAAAAAUAAAAUGUCGACUGCAAAACGAGCGAGCAAGACCCAUGAAGAACGGUUGGUGGAGAUCGAAGUGCAGAUGCUCCACCUGAUGGAAGUUCCUGAUUCCAUCCGGUUCUUGGAAUAGCGGCUUGAGGAUAUUGCCAAGAAAGCUGAUGGCAUUGAAGCCGUGUCCGGUCACCUUGACGGACUACCCAUCCAAGAGUUACUGACUAGAGUCGACACUCUAGAGUCCCGAGUUAUGAGAACGGGAAAUGUCACCUACGAGCGUGGGGACAGUUCAUCGGGCUCUGUUGCCCAGAUGGAAGAAAGAGUUAUGGAGCUUGAUAACUCGCAAAAGAACAUGUUGGAGAUGAUGAGCGGCAUGACAAAGGAUUUUCGAGCAACGCUGGAGGAGCCAUUCUUGUGGGCAGAAUCAAGAUUCCUAAGCCCAAGCCCUUCUGUGGGGCGAGAGAUGCCAAGGCGUUGGAAAACUUUAUCUUUGAUGUCGAGCAGUAUUUCAAAGCCUCGAACACAAUUACUGAAGAGGCCAAGGUGACGUUGGCAACCAUGCAUUUGUCAGAAGAUGCGAAGUUAUGGUGGAGGUCCCGAUACAUGGACAUUCAAGAAGGGCAUUGCACAAUCGACACGUGGGAUGCCCUAAAAGGAGAACUCUGUUCGCAAUUUUCCCUGAGAAUGUCGAAAUUCUGGCCCGACAGAAGCUGCAUGAAUUGAAGCACACGGGGAACAUUCAGGACUACGUGAAACAGAUUGUGGGGGUAAUGUUGGAUACACGCGACAUGAUCGAAAAAGAUAAAAUAUUCAGCUUUGUUGAAGGGUUGAAGCCAUGGGCAAGGACUAAGCUAUACGAGCAGAAAGUCCAAGACCUCGUGUCAGCCUAUGCAACAGCUGAACGUUUGUUUGAUCUGUCUAAUGACGUUCAAGAGACAAGACAUCAUUGAAGCUCUUCACCUGGAAGAGACAGAAACAGCCGACUGAAUUCUCCCGAAGCUGUCAGUAGAAAUAAAAGUCCUGGUAGAGACCGCAAGCCCUUCCAGUCAAAUACGGGGAACACCAGGCAAAGGCCCACUAGUCAAAGGACCUCCCACACUCCUAUCAGUUGCUACAUUUGUAACAGGCCACAUCGGACAAGGGAAUGUCCGGAUAAAGCGGCCUUCUACGCCUUCCAGGCCUCUCUGGCUACAGACUUAGGUGACAAGUUGGGUCAACCAGAGAAUGAAGGUGGGUAGGUGGAGGAAGUCCAAAACGUUAGAGUAGGGGCCAUAAGACUUUGUCGUUCCUUCAGAAGAAAGCGGGGGAGACAAGUGGUCGUACAAAAGGGGGCCUAAUAUAUGUGGACACCUGGAUCAACCGAAGGCAUGCAAAGAGCACUAUGGUUGACUCCAGUGCAACCCAUAAUUUUAUAACGGUGGCGGAAGCCAGACGAUUGAACCUUCACUAGAAGAAGGAUACAGAAAAGAUGAAGGCCGUAAAUUCUACAGCUUUACCCGUCGUCGGAGUAGUGAAACGAGCGGUGAUACAGUUGGAAAGAUGGAACGGCCUUGUUGACUUUGUGGUUGUGGGCAUGGAUGACUUUGAUGUAGUUCUCGGAAUGGAAUUCCUUCUCGAACAUCAAGUGAUCAUGAUGCCUGCACCAAAUGUCGGUGAUCACGGGAUCUACCCCCACCGUUAUGCAGAUACCCCCACCAUUAUGCAGAUAGAACUCCGGCAACCCAAAGGAUUGAGAAUGGUCUCGACCAUGCAACUGAGGGCCAUAUUAGGAAGACACAAGGCGUGUCGUGGAGAGACGUUGUGAUGGGAAACAGGAUAGUUUGCCCAUGUCAGAAUCGCCUACGAGAAAUGAUCAUCGUAUGGCGCAAUCAAAAUCAUCUGGACUCAGGAGACAGUCAAUGAGACUGUCAGGUGCAGGAUCCACUAGACCUGCGAGAGAUCCGUAUCAAGCACAAGACUUCUUACGGAAGGAAGAGAAUGGACAAUUGUGUGUCAACAACCGUGUCCUAAAGCAAGCCCCGAGGAGAGGGCCAACUUUUGAGUCCGUGAGUGGGACUCAGCCUGUUGAAGCUUACGCUAAGGCAUAUGGUCCUGUGUCAGGUGGCAUCCUAAUGCAGAAUGGACACCCUAUCACAGCUGAGAGUCAGAAACAAAGUGCCGCAGAAGGUAGUUAUACGAUGUUUGGAAAAGGAAUGCUGACCACGAUACGUAGUCUGAAGGAUGGAAGACAACAUUCCCAGGGGUCUACACAUGGAAGAGAGACGAACAACAUUGCGACCAACCGCUUUGAUACUCGGCCGAAGUGGGCUUUGAGUCAAGAAAAGUGGCAGAGGGACGUGUCAAGGAAUCCUUGCAGAAAAACUCUGUCAUUGAAGUUGAUGUAAGUCUGGCGGAGACCAGUCAGGUGGAAGAAAAGAAUGGAGUUCAAUUGUGGAAGCUAACCCAAUCUUAUGUUAAUGCUGCAAUGAGUUCGUCAAUGGAUGGAAACCAGUUUGUGGGUAUUUGUGGCGGACAUUCUGUACAGUCCCUUGUUGGUCCCUCCUAUGUUGGUAAGAAUCCUCAAGCUUGCAACAGUACCAAGAGGUGGAAGCUGGAGUCAGACAUCGUUCGGACCGAUCGAGAGGAAGCCUCGAAGUGGCCAGAAAAGUGGGCAGAUAAGAAGCAUCGCCUCCGUGUUGGGGGAGACCAGGUCAUCGUCAAACGGCGAUCUGAACUGACUCAGUUUUUGAAGAAGACUUCAAGAUCACCGCCUCGUGAGAGAACGCGAGGGACAAACAGAAGUUCAAGAAGUCCUUGCUAAAGAAGCAAGGAAAAGAAGAAGACCCAUGGGGGGAUACACAAGUUCGUGGUGAAGCAGAGGAGCCUCCUCAUGGAAGAAGCCUGUGGAAGACGUACCAAGACUGUGAAGCGUGGAGGUAGAAGAUCGAAGGAUUCCAGCUUUGCCAGUCGACGGGGACGUCAACUGUUUAAGUGGGGGAGUGUGUCACGGACAUAUUUUUCCAAAGUGUGUUUACCUUUGGUUAUAUGCUCCGAUUACCCCUAGUUUAUCUCAUCUUUAGUUUGCAUAACUAGUUUAGCUGUUUGCUUUUCAUUCUAGGUCAUAAAGCCUUGGUGUGCGUUUCGACAUUUUCAUAUGCAAGCCUGCCAUAGAGGAAAAUGUUCAAAAUGUACUAUAGGGGGGCAUACCAGUUGAAUCCCCGCCCAAGCAUUAGUUAUACUCUUUGCAAGCAACCCUUUUUCCUUGCAAUUGACAGUCUUUAAUGUUUUAUCGUUAUUUCAAUGUAUUUCUUUCUUUCCCGCGUUUUAUAAACAAAAUUUCCCUAAAACGCAAACGAAGGUUACGACAUACAUCGACGUUACCCACAACUCUUGGAUAUUGAUCGGCUUACUUGUUCAUCGAGUUAGAACAAGUGUCGCACAAUCGUCCGUCUCGAGGUUGAAACGCUACGAUUGUGACACCCGGCAGCCACAUAGAAUUGAGAAAAGCCUAUGGUUGAGGCAGCAUUAAUUUAUGAAACUUUACACGUGGGAAGAGAUGACUCUUUCUAUUCAAACCUGUAAACAUAGAAGACCGCCUCAAUGAACAAGGGAUCAUUCACAUAGAAUAAAUAUGAACAACGAGAAAGGGAAUAUAAGGUUUGAAUUCAGAGGAAAGCCUAGCUUGAAUGAACAAGGUGAAAAGAAUAUUGACAGCUGCACUUACGAGUCUUUCAGUUACCUUUCUGCCUCUUUAAAGAGUUCAAGGUUUUCUAUUAUCGGAAGAAUCAGAAUAAGAAGAAAAUAGAGAGAGAAGAGAGCUCAGGAGGCGCAAUGAAAUAUGCGUGAGAAGCGCAUUUCCUUAGUGGAAUACUUUGAUAGCGGAAUAAGAAGUCGGAGGCUCGGUCAAGACGAUCUUUUGAUCUAUUCUAAUGGUUCUAAUGGAUAGUCCUUCGUUUUAGAGUCCUACAGAUAAAUCCUCCGGACUGGUCCGAAGGCUAGGUUCAUACGGAUAGUCAGGACGGUUAGUUGGAGCCUUGUUUUUCGAAAUCUUCUUUGAGCCUCAGUCGUCUCAUUGAUAAGGACAUCUUUGCAAAUGAAGAGCGGGAGGUGCAAAGUGCGGCUAUUACUUUGAAAAGAAUAGGAGCUCCGCGGUUUGAAUUGAAUAAAAAGGAUAGGCUGAAAUUCAAAGUGAAUAAGAGGAUAUUUUCAGACAUAAUAUCUAAAGUCAAUGAACAGGGCUCCUAACCUGAUUUAUGGGGAGCCUACUACGUCCAUUAGUUCCGAACUUGGCUCCACUCCUAGUAGUUCGAACUUGGCUUUGCUCCUUCGCUUUUUCUCUUAUUGAUCUCUCUUGUAAUGCUUUCUACUAAGAAUCAAGAAAGCGCAACUUCUAUUGUUCGAACGACCUUGAUUAAAAAACGAUGCUUCCUUGGUCGUGUAGAACAUGGAUUAGCAUUAUUUCAUUCCUACAAGCGAUCCCCCAUCCAGGAUUGGAAGAAGUGCUAUAUGAGGACUUUGAGAUCAAAUAGAAUAUAUUUCUUUCAAGACCUCGUGAGCCACUUAUUUCUCCGAAACAAGAGAGAAAAGUGAUUUUCCUCCUUUUUCUCAAUAAGUCGACGACCUUACACCAUUGGGAUACUUCUUUGAAACUAGAGUACAUAUAGGAUACACCGGUGCUAAAACCUUUUCUCAAAAGAUCUUCCAAACUGUUGGGGUCCUUGCUCCGUAUGUUCUUCCCCCGGUGUGAAAGCAGUUGGUUCCAUAGUUUGAGAAUUCUACUGAUCCCAAGUACUCCAUCUCCAUCAUUGCAUAGGGAAUAUAGAAAGUCAAGAAGAAAAGGCAUGAGCAGAAGAAUUGUGUGAAAUAAGUCAAUUUAUCCAAUUGAGGCAUUCUUUCUUUUUCUUAAGAAAAUUCCCUCUAGACAUAAAUCCUUUCUGUACGAGUAGUGAAGAACUAUAGAGAGCAGUGGUUGGUUGUUGACCAACGAAAAGCAUGGGAGAAAGAAAGAUGUUGGCAAGGAAGCAUCAAAAUAGAUCAAUGAAAGAGGCUCAAAGAAUGAUCGAGGACUAUUUUAGUCCGACUAGAAACUAGGGAAACUAAAGACUAACGAAAUCUAGAUGAGAAUCCGUACAAUUAGUCUCGAGAAAAAGAAGAAAGCAAUAAAAAAAGUGAAGACAGAAAAUGAACCGAAAAUCUUCUUCUCUCAUAUUGAAUUCAUCCUUCUACGCAUCUCCAUGGGCUCGACUGAGAGUGGAGGAGAGGACGGGAAGAAUGAGAAAAAUAGUAAGGCGAGAAGACAGGUUCGAAGGACUAUCCAUCAGGGAGUUUGGACCCCGUAGUUAGGAGCAAAGAAUAUUGCGAAAGAGUCAUAAUAGGUACAAAUCUUCUUAGAUUAUGUUGAAGGAGGCGGCGCAAUUCAAUAAGCGAAAGUCAUGAUCCCUUUAAAGCAGACGUUAGGCGCAAAGAAAGAAGCUCAUUAACGAGAAUGAAAGAAUAAUUCACUCAUUAACGAGAAUGAAAGAAUAAUUCACUCAUUAACGAUAAUGAAAGAAUAAUUCUGAUUUCAUCACCUUGUUUUUACGGAGUUCAAUACUAGAUUGAAGACGGAGGGAAAUCCCAGAUUUUGCUAGGUUUUGGGCCUAUAAAGUAGCAAGAAAUCAUGAAAAAUCAGUCAAAAUUAGACAAUUAUCGUAGCAUAUCAAUAUGAGAAAAAGUAUGAAAAAGAAGCAAAAAAGUCGGAAAAUAGCAAUUCAAGAAGAAAGCCUAGGACAGGGAAAAGAAAUGAACACUUCUAGUUUGAGUUUAUGGUCCGGAUACUGACAGGUCUAUUCAUUAUUCCGCUCCUGAAUAUGGAUAAUCCUACUUCGGUUAAUUACGGAUAGUCCUCCUUCGGUUAAUUACAGAUGGUCCUACGGAUAAAUCCUCCAGACUACUUCAAUUAAUUACGGAUGGUCCUACUUCCAUAUGGAUAGUCGUACUUCAAAUGGAUAGUCCUCCGGAUAAAUCCUGCGGACGUAGGACCUUGGACCUUUCUUUCUUUAAUGGAUAGUCCUCCGGAUAAAUCCUGCAGACUGCGUAGGACCCUGGACCUUUCUUUGGCACUCCGGACGGAUAAAGAAAGGAUAAAUAAAGGCGCAAAGAAUAUUGCGAAGUGAAGCGCAUUUAUCUAAGAAAAGAAGAAAGGAUAAAUAAAGGCGCAAAGAAUAUUGCAAGAGCGGGAAUUACCUUUUCUCUUCGGGUUAGCUAAGAGUUGUCGGAGGCUUGAAGUCGAAUAAUUACUUUUACUUAAAGGUUUCACAAACCUGCAAAAUCUUCUCCAAAUUAGCGUUAGCGUUCUGAGCUAGCCAAGCAGUAUAUUUAAAAUAUAGAAAGAAAAAAAUCCAUGCAAUCCAAGUACACUAAGAACCUACAGCAUCGUCACGCUGCGUGCGGAAGGUUAAUUCUUCUAACUCUGGUAUUAUCGUUGAACAAGCAGUUCACAUUCGACUGCCCACGUAGUGGGGGAAGCUCGCUCGCUAACUUUGCACUUCGGCCAAAAUGCCGAAAAAAGGCUAAGGCCGAAGGAGGUCUGCUCCUUCGCUCAAGGAAAAAUUGCCCGAUUGAAUAUAUAUCUUGGAGCAGAGAGAGGAAAGGAUGACGGAAGCCUCAGUCUCAGUACGAAAGGGGCAAAAAGCUGGAAAAGGCAUACUGGCUUCACCUUGCCCUAGGAUGGGGUCCGUCGGAUCUUUUAAGGCAUAAGCUUAAUGCUGAGACGCACGGGGAUAUCCGGUCAAGGAUGGAUAUUCAAGACAAGGACGAAGGCUCUCCUUCACGCAAGAUGAUUACAAGUCUUAGGAGUGAACUUCCGCUUUACCCUUGUGGUAUCAUGAAGCGAAGGGCAGAGAAAGCGAGCGAGAAAACAUAAAUCAAGGCGGUCGUUGACUUAAAAUAGGCAAAAAGAAAAGACAGAGAGCCUACAGGUUUCUCGAUUUACCCUUCUUCUAGGAUAGAAAAAGGCACUGCCUGUGUGACCACUACAAGCAGACGUGACGAGCGAUGCAGGGCCACCCACGACCGCUAGCAAUACGAGGUAAAGCGGCCAGAAAGCAUACCAUAGGAUGCGUCCUGAGGGUAUUCACAUAAACAUUCUUCGAAUUGUUCACAUUCGGCGGGAUGUUCUUAGCCUUGUCUCCAAGUGAAUAAUUGAAUCGGCACCGACACGAUCGGACCUAUUGCAGCCUUCGGUUGACUGGUGGCAUUCGAUGGUAUGCUUUGAGGCCUUCCCAACCUGCUCCGUGUAAAAAGGUAGAAGGAGGCUCAAAGAAUUAUCGAAGAGCGAGACGAAAGAAAAUAGCGACUUCCAGUCGGUGAUGGGAUAUCUCAAUGUUAUCGCAGAUUCAAAGGCGCAAAGAAUAUUGCAUUGAGGCUCGACUGAAAGGAGAGGCGAAUUUGAGAAGAAAGAACUAUAUCGGAUAAAUACUCAACUGCCUCAGACGUCACUGGGACAAGAGCCGGAGAUUCUGAAACCUCUCGCAGCUUCUUUGCUUCCUUUGGUCUCGAUAUUUGAACCGCCUCAAUAAACAAUAAAUAAGGGUCCAAAAAAUCAAGGUCAUCUGAAACCCUUUUUUUUAUGCGCCUCAGUCCUAUCCAUUAGAACGCCGGCCCUCACCCUUUUUCUUCUUAGUGAGAGCUUGAGCUUUAGUCUUCCGAGUUCUCAAAUUCUUUGACCCUCUGUCUCAGUAUUCGGCAGAGAUGCUGAUGUUAACAAUAAAUGCAGGCUGAAUGUUGUAUGGAAGGAUGAUCAUUUCGGCUUCUUGUAGCCAUUGAUGUUGUCUAAUGCUUGGAGAGACAUUGUUUAAUGUGACUUUGGACAAGGUUACUGAAGAUAGAACUAUCUGGCUUUAGGUCAGUUUUCAGUUGCUAAGACAGUGAAGCUCUUUCAUCUUCCUGGUAAUACUGUCCCUUGGUUCAAGCUUCUUUGGGGUAAGAAGCACAUCCCUAGUCAUGCUUUUCUUUCGUGGAUGGCUAUGAAUAAGAGUCUGAGAGUCAAAGCUAAACUGUACAAUCUUUAAGUGCUUUCGUCUUAUUUUGAGGUUUGGAAGCAAAGAAGCAGAGCGGAGUUUGAUUCCUUAUAUCAGAAAAAGAUAUAGGAAGACUCCCAGAAAGAAGAAAGCCUAGGAGCAAGCAAAGAAAGAGUAAGGAUCAGAAAGCUCCUAACCCCUAUUUAUUUAUGGAUGUGAAUUGAGCGAAGGCGCAAAGAAUAUUGCGAAGGUUAAAGAAUAUUGACUUGAUAAACCUCUAUUUAGCUUCUUAUAUCUGAAGACGAUAAAGUCAGAUAAUCAGCCUCCGGCUGGGUCGGAUCGUCCAUACCUAGUUGAGUAUCUCUGUCCGUCAUAACGAAUUCACUCUUUGAAAAAGGGUCGGGCUUUGUUGGAGUUGACUCGGUGAGUACACUUUCAUCUUUACGAGAAGAAGCGCGAACAACAACUAUAUUAUUCAGCGACAGACCUGAUUUACCCGAUGAGUGGAAUGACUCGACAAAAGUCUUAGGACUCGGGACAGACGCGCCUCCUUCCUGCUAGAACUCAUAGGUCUACGGGGUUCUUUCGGUAGCGAGAAUAGUGGUCCCAAACGGAAUAGAAGUACUUUUGAUUCACUGAAUCAUAAUCUUUGAAAGAAGAAAGGGGGACGGAGGAUCAAUGAAAUUUGAUGAUGAUGAGUAAGCUCUUGCUUUUCUUGCUCCUCUUUCUGAAGUUGCGAGAGGUUCAAAAUAUCCUUAUCAAUGAUUGGAGUGGUUGUUCCGGUUGCAACGUUGCUGUUGGAGUAGAAGUUGUAGCCCUUUCGGUGAGGUGCAAAUGCUCGACCUCGACCCAUUGGCAUUAGUUGAGGAUGCACUAUCCCUGAUUAUUUUUUAGGAGAAAGCCUCUUUCGUCGGGUUUAGGGGAAAAGACUAAGAAUGAGGUCCCCUCCCCCCAGUUGAGGAACGAGGGCAAAAGCGAAGCCUAUGAAGUGAGUAUGAGCUCGUUCGACCCCCAUGUAGCAGGAAUAGCACCAUCUUCUCUCUUUCAUGAGUAGUUCACUGCACUCAUUAGUAGCUGGACCAAGAGGUUAUUCACUCUAUGAUCUCCUGGACUGGAAUAGGCGCUCUCCCAUAGCAAGAGGGAGCUCGACGUAGUCGGUCUUUCGACAGUCACAGUAAUUGAGAGAAGCAGCUGCCCGGGAGAGGGAGGUAUCGGAUUAGGCACGAAGAGAGGAUUAGUCGAAUCGACUGUAAGAAGAGGCAUCCGUUCUUGUGGCAGUAGCAGUUGCAGAAGUUGAAUCGUCAGUGGCUGUUCUUGUUUAAGAAAUAGCUGCAGCUAUUCCCACCAAGGCCUGACGAUAGGCUGAUUUCAGGAUUUCCUAUCCAUCCUCAAAUUCUUUGAGCCUUUGUUACAAGAAAAUACUCUUUAGUGACUCAAGAAUACCCUGUCUUAUGGCACCUCUCAUCUGGAGCCUUUGUUUUUAAACAAGUCAAAUUCUCUAAUGGAUAGCCUGAAUUCAUGAAUAUUGAAUUGAACCUACUAAAAUCAAAGGAAUAAAGAAAGAGCUCAAAAGGAGUCAAAAUGAGAAGUCCGAAACCUCAUCACCUACUCCCGGAGGCAAGGUGAAAUUCAAUAUGACGAAGUCUUAUAGUUGGGUCUCAUCCCCCCAUAAUCAAGUAGCAUCCACUAAAAAGAGCGGAGCGCGGAAGGACGAGGCGCAAUUGAAAUAUGCCUGAAUGAAUCUACCCUUUUUAGAUUCGACUACUCCGCUACGUGGGCUUACUAGUAAUGCUGAAGUUUCCUCCUUUUCUAGCUUUCUUUCUAAUGCCCUUCUUUAUGGUCAAGUGUAUGGUCACUUCCCCGAGGCGCGGAUCCCACUACACGGGAAUAUAUUAUGAUAUAAUGAACUAUCUUCUUUCUAAUAGCUGGUUUCAACAGCCACCGGGGAGGAGACAAGAACUCAAUCUACUGAAACAAGGUUUCAACCACAGCGAGAGCAUACCUCAAAAAAAUAAGGAAGAAAAAGAUAAAGGCGCGAAGCAAAGCCUAUGAAGUCAUAAGGGCAAGGGCUUUCCGUGAACUUUCUUAUGAUGGGAAAUCCUUGUUUCAUUUGCGAGACACAUUUCAUUCGUAGAAAUACCACUUCCUACUUCCUCAUCCCGACAAUAAAGAAAGCACUACGCGGGACAAAGUAGAUUCCCAAACUAAAAGGAAAGACUAAAAUCAAAGCUCCAGAUGAGUUGAAUUGAGGUGCAAUGAAAUAUGCCUUUCAGCAGUGUGCGAAUUCGCUCUUUCGGCUGAUAACCUUUCGAUCCAGAAAGCACUACGCGGAAGUUCCCCACUACGCGGCGCGAAGCGACUGCCCACUUUUUGAAAAGAAAUAAAGAGCGCAGAACAAGGUUCAGUUAAGCUUGAUAAAUCAGUCCUUCGCCUAAGAAUAAGGUUCAAAGAAUAUUGAACUCAUGAAAUCAAUAUCCCUGUCUUAUGGGGCCUUCGUAGCUUAAUAAUGGGGAUCUGGUUCAAUUAUAAGGCUCAAAGAAGAUUGAGAAAGAAUAUUGCAAAAUCAAGGCGGCAAAGAAAAGGUGAAUAUGGAUUCGUACGAUUAGACUUGACUGAGAAUGGAAUUGCUUUAGCUAUCUUUUUUUUCCGUCUUUCAAGGUGGAAGCUAAAUCAGAAUAGUUUCUAGUUGAAGGCAAGCAAGCUAGGGUUGGUUCGUAUUGACAAAGAGCUGGACUUCUAAACUUUCAAUGGGUACUGGAGUACUACUUUGUCAAUCGAUGCUUAAUACUAUCUUUACGCAAAUAAAGGCCGAAGAAUGAGGCUAAGUCUUCUAUUUAGUGGUCUCGCUUUGCACCUUGCUGAUCUCAUUUCAAAAAUGCUUCGCCUGCCUCUUCUUGGAUUCCGUGCACGAGUAAGUACCCGUAAAUCGUAAAGAAAGAGGGGGGGUAGUUACCUGCUCUUUCAUCGAGAUUGGCGAAUUACGGUAGAAGAUAGAAGAGGUUCGAGGAUCAAAGUAUUUGAGCUUUGCUAUUACUUUCAUGCUCCUCUUAGAAGGAAGAUAAGCACGAUAAGCUGGCCUAUAUCAUUGCUUAAUUCAUGCUUUCUUCGUACUUCCGGAAAGAAAUCUCACUCAUUUCAUUCUAUCACAUAAUGAGAACUCUAGAAAAGAAAUUGCUUACUUCAUGCUUUCUUCGUAUUUAUUUCCAAUCCAUCUUUUGUCUAUGACGAUCGGUACGAAAGGAAGGCAUGCUCGCAGGGGAUUCUUAUUACUAAUAGAUGAUAAGAUAAUACGAGAAUGAAAGAGGUCGAGCGCCUCACCUCUGAGUCUGAUUGUUGGAGUAGUCUGAUGACUCCCACUGGUCGUCUUUCAACUCAUUAAAUCCCCUAUCUUUUAUGGCGGUCUUACCGGAAUAUCUACUUUAUAGAAUUCCUAUGAGACUAAGAAACAAACUGAGACCUCGUAGUCUUCCUGUUCCCGGUCGAUCCUAUGAUCGAUCUCAUACAAAGAUCUCAUCUCAUCGACUAAAAAGACUCUUUCUUCUUAGUUUGAGCUUGAGGCGCGUCCAACCCACUACGCGGUAAGCUUUUCCUCUUUUCCUCUCACUUCAAGACUCAAGACCUUACCCGCACCGAGUCAAUCCGAUCGCUACCUUUCCGGGUCGUAUUCUAGUAAUUAAUUUCAUUAAUAACUCAGAGCGGCGAUCUAAAUACUUCUUCAGCAAGAACUUCGAAGAAGGUAGAGGAACUGAAAUGGAUUCACUUCCGCAGGCAGCAUCCCUUUCAACGACGACUCCCCGAGAGACCCGCUUCAAACUUCCGAUUUAGAAAGAAGGUAUCUCAGUCUCUUACCGCGUAGUGGGCUGAUCGUGAGAGAUGGAAUCUUCAACCUCUUAUGGAAAUGUGUCCAGCGGAAGUAUUUACGUAAGAAAUUGAGAACCAGGCGAGAGGAGAGGGGUGAGGAUCGAGCGCAUUCCCUAUCGAUCAGCAUCCUCAACUCUACUUCAGAGCUAGAAAGGUUUCGGAAUUCAGAGGCAAGAGCAUUCCUUCCUCUUCUUUAGUCAAGUCAUUUCAUUCCAUUUCUCACUAGGUCUAUAGAAAUAGUUCAUGGCCACUAGGUCUCGUCAUAUUUUUUCUCAAGAGAUGAGAAGAAAGUUCCUAAUAGAAUAUGUUUGAAUAUCUCAACUAGAAAGUCUCGGAUUAACUCUUCCCAUAGCGUAGCCGCGGCGGAAAAGGAAGAUUUUCAACAGUCAAGAGAUCAAUCAGAAGGGAGCGGAAGAAUGGAUAUUGUCUUCGAUCUUGCGAUAAAAUGAGUGAGACCAUAUGCGAUCUGUCUCAAACAGAGAAUUAGUAAUCUGAGUCGCAGGGAAUAGGUUGAAUAGUCCGGAGGACGGGGAGAAGAAAAGAGAGGUUCCGAGGUUCAAAGAAUAUUGGACAAAGAAUAUUUCAUGAAUUGAGGUGCGGUAGUCCGUCCGAAGGACUAUGAAAUCCAUUAGUUUUCGUUUGCACUCCUUUCUUCUUUUCUUAGAUAUUCUGGGAUUGAACUCCGUCUGAAAUCUAGCAGAUUCAUUUUUAGCUUCUUUCAUUCUCGUUAAUGAGCACUUGAACUGUCUUUCUCAGGCGCAAAAAAUAUUGCCGAGAAGAGCAAAGAAGGAAUGGCGAUCAGAAUUGAGUCCUUUCAUACUUUCGUUGAGGAGGAGGAGUUUUUUCUUGUAUCAUAUUAGGAUAUUUUAGUAGAAUAAGAAGAAGAAGAAGAUAAGUACGUAGCGGGCUUUUCUUAUGGCGGAGCGGAGGAGUCCGACUAUCCACUGAAGAAAGUAGGAAAGCCUAAGGAACCUAAAAAGGGCUAAUAGGGGAAGGAAGAAAGCCUAUCCCUCCAGAAUCUUUGAGGACCGAAGGACUUCUUUAUAUCCCUAUUUAUUUAUUUAUGGGACUCCCAGAAAGGUUUAGUUCCAUAAAUCAGUCGGCUAAUAUAUAGGAUGAAAGUAGAUAGAGAGGAAAAGAAAAAAGUCGUCACUCUUAAGGAGUGCAAGAAGGAAUCUUUGAACCUUUUAUCCUGAUCUCUCUCAUUCUACAACUCAGUCGAGCCACUAUUCAACCUUCUUUUCGAGGGGACAUCAUGUCCUCUUAUCUUAAUCCCAUAAAUCAUUUAAGGCGAUACUGAAAGAAGAAAUCCAGCAACUUAAUCCGGUAGAGUCAAUUCGAGACUAAGACGAGUUGGGGUUUCGACCAUAGGCUUUCCUUCCAAACCUACUAUACUAAACCUACCCCCGGACUCAAGGCGCGAAGUGAAGCGGCUGCCCACUUUUUAGAAAUAAAGAGCUGAGAUAAUUCUUUUCACUCAUUGAGGUCGGCUAAAUUCAAUGGAUAAAGAAGUCCUUUGCUUCAUUCUAUAUGUCCUUAUCAAUGAGACCAUUAAUCAGUCCGAAGGACUAUCCAAAGAAAAGAAUAUCCCUGUCUUAUGGGGCCUCCGUAGCUUAAUAUGGAGCGCUCCGGACGAGUCUUAACUAAUAUUCCCAAUCAAAGAAUUAUCGAAAGAAUGAUCGACGAGUCUUAUUCCACUAAAAUAGUAGUCCUUCGGAGCAGUCUUAAUACUCCUAAAAUCAAAGCUCCAGAUGAGUUUCAUUCCACUAAAAGACGAAAGAAGGUAUCUCAGUUACCAAAGAGAAAGAGCUUCCACAAACCACUUCCACAUAAACUUCUGCUAAGUCUACUUCUGUUAUUGAUUCAACUUAGCCUUUAAUCAGAUUAGGACCUAGCUAGCCAACCUUAUUCCUUCCUCUUCCUUACUUUGUUCUCGCUUGCUUCGGCAACACAUCUUUGGAUACUGGAUAAGCUGCAAGAGAAAGACUUCUUCCGAUCGAUCAGCUACCCGAUUCCUCCUUCCCCGAUGAUAAGGUUAGCAGGCCCGAUCCUCUCCUAUUGAAAAAGAAAGCAGAAAUCUUUCAGUCCAGAGUAUUUAUCCGUAGCCCGGAGGAUUUAUCCGUAGGACCAUCUGUAAUUAACCGAAGUAGUCUGCAGUCUGAAGUCCGCAGGAUUUAUCCGGAGGACUAUCCAUUAGAAGUAGGACCAUCCAUAUGGAAGGAAGUAGUCCAGAAUCCGCAGUCCGCAGGAUUUAUCCGUAGGACUAUCCAUUUUCAGUCGGACUAUCCAUAUGGAAGGGAGCGAAAUCUAGCUAUGAGGACUCUUUGAGCUCUUCUUUGAGUCAGUGGCUGCCCUUCCAGAAGGAGCAGCGAAGUCCGCGGUUUCAGAGGUUUAUGUAGCAGUUCUUCUUUAAUAAGAUGCUUACUUUCUUUCGGGUAGAAAGGUUCACUCGUGAACGCACUACUACAGAAAUUGGUUUACUUGACGUUAAUACAAUGUCAAGUAAAUGUAUACUUGACGUUUUUAAAAGCGUCAAGUAUUCGACUGUCAAGUAUAGUUACAUUACUUGACACUAAAAAACUGUCAAGUAUACGUUUACUUAACACUGUAUUAACAUCAAGUAAUCGACUGUCAAGUAUAGUCACAUUACUUGACACUAAAAUAUUGUCAAGUAUACAUUUACUUGAGACUGUAUUAACGUCAAGUAUUAUAUCAUACUUGAUGUUUAUUACGUGUCAAGUAAGAUCAUACACAUGACGCCUUUUACAUGUCAAGUAAAGUCGUAUACUUGUCAAUUUUUGCACUUCAAGUAAGAUUGUAUACUUGACACUAUGUAUCCGUCAACUAAGAUGAUAUACUUGACACUAUUUAUCCGUUAAGUAAAAUAGUAUAUUUGAUUCUAAGAUAGUAUACUUGACAUGUAUCUAACGUCAUGUAUACCAUUUAUUAAUAUAUUAAAUAUAUAAAAAAUUUCAUUUCCUGUUUUCUGUAUUACGUACAUUCAUUUCAAUAAAACAUAUUCAUCGACAAAAUAAACUCUCCAACUAGUAGUUACACAAAAAAUAAUUUAGUAUAAGUAAACCAACAAUAAUUUUAUUACUCUCAACAACAUCGUCAACAAUUACACAAUUCCAAUCCAAUAUAGUCAACUAAAAUUUCCUAUAUGUGGCCUAUUCCAAAAUCAACAAAAUAAUUAUCUUAUAUAACCAAAAACAUGUGUGGUAUACCAAAACUAAAAUCUAUCCCUUUACAUCUAUUGCAUGUACAUAAGCAUAAUAGCUAUGAACGAAACAUUUACAAAAAAAAAAAAAAAAAGUUAUGGGCAUUCCCAUAUAUUAGUCAUUCACAAAAUUAAUAAGAUCACAUCUAAGGAUGUCUAUCAUAUGUACAAAGCUAAAAAUUUAGCCCACUCCGCUCAUACUUCAUCCAAUUCAAGCUGUGAGUAGAAACUCUUGUAUCAGUCUAUAAAACAUAAAAAAUCAAGUAGACAUUUGUUAAAAAUAAAAAUUAAUCAGAUAAGUAACUUAUUUCCAUCAUAAAAAAAUAAUCCCCUUGUAAAAAAUUCUACAUUGUAAGGAGGAUAUUGUAAACCUAAACAUGAAUAUUUAAACCUAUAUGAAACUAAGUACAAACAUAAAUUAGAAAACCUACACUAAAUAAAUAUUGUUAAUGCUCAAAAACAGUUAAAAAUUAACUUAAAGAAUACCGUAUAACUUAAGCAAGUUUCCCAGAUCAUAAUACACAAGAGUACCUAUUCAACUGAGUUAAGUGCUUCAACACCUCCCCGCAUCUGCAAAGAAAAACAUUACAAGAGUAAAGGGAGAGACAAAAAAACGAACUUCCUUUGAUCUUCUUACAACAUUCACAUUUAUCAAGCUCCACUAAAUCACUAAUAAACCAAGAGGACACUAUUGCUUACCUAUUUAUUGCAGAGAAUCUGGGUUCAAGACAAAAAGAACAAAAUAAUUAUACACCAAAUAUUUUGAAGAUUAUUGAAUAGAAAUGUGUAUAUUGUUCACGUGAAAAUUUCACCUACCAUUCUGCAAAUCAAAACAAAUUCUUUGAAUGAAACCAAAUCAUCGAUGAACUCUCACCACCCUGAAUAAAAAACCAACGAAAUCAAUCAAAGAAAACAAAUACAUUGAACUCAAAAAACAAAAAAGAAAAACUCUCAUCCUCUAACAUUCAGUAGUGAACGAAAAAGGGAAGAAAAUCAGAGGGGGGCGGCUUUUCGGUGAGAAGAAAAUCAGAAGGGGGCGUGUCCAGUGAGGAGAAGGGAGAUCGAGAAGAACUCCAGUGGUGAAGAAAUUCGGUGGGGGCCAUUCCACGUGAAGAAAAUCAAAGGGGAAGGGGGCUUUUCGGUGAGAAGAAAAUCGGAAGGGAAGGGGGACACGUUCGGUGAGAAGAGGGGGGCGAGAAAAGAAAUUUGGUGGAGGGUCGUCUGACGUGAAGAAAAUAAGAGGGGGCUUUUUAGUGUGAAAAAAAUCGGAAGGUUGCGUGUGAUAAGGGAAGAGAGGCAGCAUGUGAGAGAAAAUAGGAAAAAGGAGGGAAAAUGAAAAGAGGGAAAGGGUUGGGGAAAAAAAUUUGGGAAAUAAGUUAGGUUUUUUUAGAAAUAGAGAAAAAUGGAAAAUUUAGAGAAAAAAAGAGAAAAAAGUUUUAGAACUUUAGGAUGAAAAAAAUAAUUGGAAAAAAAAGGGAAAAGUUUUUUUUUUUUUUUAGAAAAUAGAGAAAAUAUAUAUUACUUUUGAUAUUUUAAUAAGUUUAUUGUAAUAAUUUUAUUUUAAUUAAUUAUUUAAUGAAAGGAGGGAAAUAAAAAGUAUUUUAUAUUUUUAUACUUGAUAAAAUAAAAAUGUUAACUAUACUUGACGUUAUUUCUGCAUCAAGUAAACAUUAACUAUGUUUGACGUGAAAAAAAUGUCAAGUAAAAGUUGAACUAUACUUGACACUAAAACACCGUCAAGUAAAUUCGACACUAUACUUGACAUGGAAAAAAUAUGAAGUAAAAGCUAAUGUAAGAUAAUUAAAAAAUUUCAUGAAAAUUUUGCUUUCUUUAAACUAUACUUGAUGUUUUGUUCGUGUCAAGUAAAAGUUCAUUAUACUUAGCGCAAAUAAAACGUUAAGUAAAAUCUCCCUUAUACUUAACGAGAAAAAAACGUCAAAUAAAAGCUAACUUAAAAUAGUUUGAAAAAUUUCGUAAAACUCCACUUUUUAAAAACUAUACUUGACGUUUUUUCUUUAAAAUGGUCAAUACUUGACAUUUUUUUAAUAAAAACGUCAAGUAUGUAAAAGUACCUAGUGUCAAGUAAAGUAGAUUUUGUAGCAGUGACGGUACACCUCUUAUAUGAUGCCUGGGGACUUUGUCCCUUCUUCUACGGAUUUCUCUUAUAUGAUCUUAUUCAUCUCCGUAUCGUUCAUAUAUUCAUUCUAUAAAAUCCCUAGCUGCCACAGAUGGUCGAACUUGCCUCUUAAGUGGCGUGGGUCGAUCCUCUUGUUGACUUUUACCUAGGAGUGGGGGGAAGAAGUUCGAGAAUAAUUUCUCUUCUUUCCCUGUCCCAGUUCUUCUUUCCACUUCUACUUAAGUCACCACGACUGAUACAGAUGCAAGAACAUCAGGGCGAGCAGGGAAGAGGCGGAGGGAGUUUGCACUUUUUCAUGCGGGUUUGAGUGAGACUGAUGCGCCCUAGGUCAAGCCAUUGCUUCGUCUUGUUCAUCACAUUCAUUAUGUUCACAAUUCCGGAAUCAAAGUAGAAAUACGAGAAAGCGCUCCAGCGGACUCUAAUUCAUUGGGAAUUCUAUCUUCCCGCCUCAAUGAACAAGGUGAAAAGAAUAUUAAAUGAAUCAUUGAGUUAAGGCGGUGGAACCUAGGAGUGGGACCGGGAACAUGAUAGGCUUCAAUCUAAGAAGUGAAUAUAGUAUUGAAAGAGGCCCACGGAGCGAUGUCCGACUAUCCUACUAUCGAAGCCUUGAAGCAUGAGUCUUGAGGUUUUCAAAGUCUACUCAGAGGACGAGGUUGAAGUUUCAUAGGGAAAGGUUUCAUAACAAGCAGUUGUUUUCCGUAUCGAAUGCUCUUUCAUUCCUUAUUCGAAAGAAGGCAAAGAAAGUGGAAACUAAAUCCUUGGAUUCUUUCCCGCUUGAACCAUGAAAGGUUAGGCCUUAGUUACGAUCUCAUUCAAUGCCCUAGCAUACUCAAAGGUUCGGGGCGUAGUGGAUGGAGCUAGAAGACUACUACUUGGACGAGGGAUUUCCUUUCUCUUAUUGUAAUACUCCUAACCACCCCUUUUUGAAUGGGCAGGCCCCUCUGGUCGAGUUUACCCUUUUUAUUCAGGCCUAUCUGCCUCCGUUCAUGAAGGACAAAAUCGGAUUGAGCCCUUGUUCAUUGAGGCGUAUAAGCCCACGUAGCGGUGCCAUAAGACAGGUCUGAAGGCGUCACAGGUCCGGAGGACCCGUCUGUCCGAAGGACGAGAUAUUUAUAAUGUUGAGAGAAAGAUUAGACUUUGUCAGGACCCUUAUUUCCGUUAUUUUUCACUUUCAAUAUUCUUAAGAAUAUUCAUUCAUCCGACAGAGCAAAGUUCAUCCAGAUCCCCAUAUGAAUUAGGCGAAGGACUGAUUUUCAAAGUCAGAGCUAUCCCUCAAAUUCUUUGAGCCUCUGCACUCAAAUUCUCUAAUGGAUAGUCCUUCAGACCGCUAGGAGUAAAGAAUAUUGUGUGGAACUGAACUAAUAUGGAAAAAGCAUUUCCUAUUGAUUUCUCCCCUGGACUGGACCUAUUCUGAUUCUGAAUUAUCCGUCGCUACGUUGUUCCCAUGGACUAGCAAAAUCGAAAUAGCGAAAUUCUUGGGUCAUCUCAAUGGGUUCAGAAACCACACGUUUCUCUGGAUCAUCAUAGCGUACUUCCACAUAUCCACUCAGAGGAAGGUCUUUUGUAAUGGAUGACCCUCGAAACCAUAAUAUGUUGAUAUACGGCGUAGAUCCGGAUGAUUGAUGGAAGAAACACCAAACAUAUCCCAAACUUCUCGCUCCCACGGCCGGCUGAUGGAAAUAGACUGACUACCGGAGAGAUUCGUGUUACUUCGUCUGCACUGGUUUGUACACGAAUGCGUGAGUUAUACCGAGUACUCAGUAAAUUAUAGACCACUUCAAAUCUGAGUUUUCUAUAUAUAUUUAUAUUGAUGUUAAUAUGUUACCUUGUAAUUGGAAUGGUGAUUUGAAUAAUCUAAUAGGAUUAUGUGUUUGGAUCAAAAUAUGUUGCAAGAGAAAUAGCUAAAUGUGUGGAUUUAGUGACAAAGAGGGUAUUCAUGUGUUUAUUUUAGUUUUCUCAGUGAGGACUCGAUUUUUAGAAGAAACGACCACUGUUCGAAUCAUUCAAAACUUUGUUCCGAACAAAAAUUUUGGACUUUGUCAUUGUCCUCUUCGUCGAAUGUGACAAACUUGAAGACAACGAUGAAACAUUGAAAGAUUACUUGGAUCGAAAAUGUCCUGUGGGGUUGAAAGAUACCAUAGCCGCUAGCAAGAACUGUUGCUUGGUUUUCAAUAACAAAACCGAUAAUGAAACAAAGAAGAUUGAAUAAGUGGAUAAACUUAUAAAGAUGGUGCAUGAAGUUGUACAACAAAAUGAAGGAAAAGCAUACACUCAUGGCUUGUUUUCUAAUGUCAAGUUUGAGACCAAGUUGCAAGAUGAUGUGAAAACCAAGCUUGAACACACAAUUACAGUUCAAAACACAAGCAAAAUUUAAAGCAUAACAAGGAGCACAAGAACUUCAACAACAAUCUAUUGAUCAAAUUCGAGUCCUCAAAGACCAUCUAUGCAUCAAGACUUGAAAGGUCACUGUCACUACCAAUGCUUCCACAAAUUAUUCGUCAUGGUCGCUGCAUGAGAAAAGGUUGCAUUAUUGUAUGACUUUACUGUGCAUGCAUUCAAUAAAUAUGUACAAGUAAUUAGUAUAAUGAAUAUAUACUAAAUAAAAAUAUGAAAAAACUGUGAAAAAAAACUUAUUUGAUUAACUGCUAUAAAAAUUAAUAUUUGAAAAUUGGCAUGUGUUCUCGAAACUAAUAAAAGCAAGUUUGGAAAUGCCUUUAUUUUGUCUUUGUUGAGUGUAGUGUAAAUUGGCAAAUAUAGAAUGCUUAAUUAUGUUGUUAAUUAAUAGAAAAUUAUUUUAGAAGUUUUGAUGAAUGUCCAACUACAUGUGGAAAGAAUUAUAAAGGAUUGAAAAAUGAUUCUAUAAUCUAGCCCAAACAAGAGGUGGGUUAUUAUAGCUCACUUCACUUCUAUUUAGUUUGGGACCCAAAUAGCCUCUUAAAAUUAGGUUAACUCCAUAACUAAUAAGGGUCUUUAACUCAUAUAGUCUAAAUGCUAUAUGAUAUUACAUGAAUGAUCCAAAUUACUAAUAAAUUUCAUAAAAGUCCUAAAUGGACUAGUAUAUUACAUAAAUGUAGGCUCAAAUUACUUUAAUACCAAUUUAUAUUAUUUAAUUGAUUUAUAACAAAUAUCUAAAUGAAAAAAACCGUGGGAUAUAGUUUUGGAAAGAAGUGGGGUCCAAAUUAAUUUAAUAUCAACUUCUAUUAUUUAAUUUAAUUGAUUUAUAACAAAUAUCUAAAUGGAAAAAAUGGUGGAACACCGUUUUGGAAAUAAGUGGGGUCCAAAAUAAUUUAAUACAAAUUUUUAUUAUUUAAUUGAUUUAUAACAAAUAUCUAAAUGGAAAAAAUAAAGAGAUACAGUUUUGGAAAGAAGUGAAAAACUUUUCAUGCUUUCCUACCACGAAAAUGGUUGUCUACUCCUUUCAACGUGGAUUACGAUUUUUACUUCAAAAUUUUAGAGAGUUCGGAGGUGAAGAAGAAGACAGUCGACGACCGACAAAUACAAAACUUCUCGAACAUAAUCUAGUUAAAAACUUUGAAGUUAGUAUUGUAUAUAUUCAACACAUAUGAAACAUUAGAUAUAUUAUGUAUAUUUUAGAUAUUCAAUUAAAUAGUCAAUCAAAUGAAAAUGUAGUUUUGAAUGUGAUACAUUUUAGGGUUUAUUGAGAUUUCGGCGGUGAAGAAGAAAACUUUUGAUGGCCAAAAAAUACAAAACUUAUCCGACAGAAUCUAGCUAGAAAAUUUGUGCUUAAUAUUAUAUAUAUUCAAAACAAAUGAUUAGAAACAUUUAGUAUAUUAGGUAUAUUUUAAAUAUUCGAUUAAAUAGACAAACAAAUGAAAAUAUAUGAAACAUUUGGUAUAUUAGGUAUAUUUUAAAUAUUUGAUUAAAUAGACAAACAAAUGAAAAAUUAGUUUUGAAUGUGAUACAUUCUAGAGUUUAUUAAGAAUUCAACGUUGAAAAAGAACGGUCAUCCUAUCAAAAAAAUAAUAGAACUAUAUAUAUAAUAUGAGGUAUAUAUAUAUAAACAUAGAACAUAACUAUUAUAGAUUACGGAUAUAUUAAAGUAUAAUGUAAUCAAAUACAUUUAUAAAGGAAAAAUAUGUAUGUAUGAUCAUGUCGUUUACUACCGUUUUAGUAAUAUUUAUUCUACAAACACAAAUUAUGUAGGAAUUAUGUAUAAGGUAUUAUUGUAUAUAAUAUGAGGUAUAUAUAUACUAAAUAACAUAUAUGAAUUAAAGUGUAUAUUUUAUUAGUGAAAGGUUCUUAUAUCAAUUUGUUUAUGAUUUUUAUUUAAAUAUUCAUAUAUUAUGUAGUAAAUAAUACGUUAUGUUUGAAAUAAUAUUGAUUAUGUAUUAAAGUUGCCCAUUAGACAGUUUUUUAAUAAAAUAUACCUAUUAUAUUAAUAUAGAAAAUGGGAGGAAAUCGUGCAACAUUAAAAUAGGAAACUUCUUUACCAUUUUCUCACUUUCCAUAUUCAACGAAAAGCUUGCCAUUUCGACAGUCAAUGACAUAUACAACAUAUUAUAUAAUGCGAUAAUAUUAUAAAACUAGUAUAAUCAUAAAUAAGAUGUGAUAUAUAUUUAAGGGAAAUAUUAAAAAACUGAUAAAUUCAUAAUAGAAUAACGUUAAAAUAAGGAGAAUAUUGUUAAUAUAUAAUAUAUAUACGCAUAUGAUAUACUCAUAAUGAACUAAUUUUAAAUGGGUAAAAUAACAAAUGACAUAUUUAUGUUAUUCUUCAUAUAAAACAUCAACUAAAAGUAUUAUAUCUCACGGUUAAUAUAUAAAACUAUUAUAAAUGUAAACAAGAUGUGAUAUAUAUAUAUAUAUAAUAAAUCACAUAUACAACCUAUUAUAUCAUCCGAUAAUAUUCUAAAAUUAGUAUAAUCAUAAAUAGUAUGUGAUAUAUGUUUAAAGGGAAUAUUAAAAAACUGGUAAAAUCAAAAUAGAAUAACAUUAAAAUAAGAGGAAUAUUGUUAAUAUAUACUAUAUAUACGCAUAUGAUAUACUCAGAAUGAACUAAUUUUAAAUGGGCAAAAUAACAAAUGACUGUGGAUUUUAUCUUAUCUUCAGGUGAUGGACAAUUGUAUAUGACGGCGAUUUGUUAAGAUUCUGCAGCUUACGGUUAUGAUAAAUUUGAAUACAAAUUUAUAAAACAAUGUAAUAAGAAGUUCAAAUGAUGGAGAAGAAUAGCAAAAAAAAGCUGUCGGCGAUGGAGAAGAUAAUGUAAUGGCUGCCAGAGAGAGUGAACAAUUAGGUUAAGUUAUAUUUUUAGAAAGAAUAAUUAAAUAGUUUAUUACAAAAUAAAGUAAAAUUACAAUUAUUAUAAUAUAUUCUGAUUUAUAAUUAAUUUAAAAGAUACUUGAAAUUAUUAACAUAUUAAGGUCUUUUGUUUAAAAGUUUCAACUAAUAAUAAUGAUAGUUCUCAUUAACCAAUUGACAAAUGAUUGAUAUUGUCAAAUAAUCGAUAUUGUCAAAUGAUCGAUAUGUGCAAGUGCACAUUUCAAUUAUAAUAUAGUAAAACGUUCUUAGAGAUCGAGCUAGUAUCCUUUUAAGAGGGAUCAAAUUAACAAAUUAAUUUAUUGAUUUUAGGAUUAGAUGUGUUUUAAGGAUAAAAACAAUGAUUAGAAACUAAUAAAAGAUCCCUAAAAGACAAAUAUGAAAUCUCAAAGAAUAAAAAAUGCUCCAAAAUUGUAUUUGAUUUCACUGUUCAAUCCAUAAAAUCAUGAUGUGUAUAGGUUAUAUGAAAACUAGUGUCAGUAUGUGUUCAGCUCAAGUUGUUGACUUUUGAAAAAAAUAUCUUUCCAUUCAAACAUAUACAUAGUUUGGUUGGUAGUUUUUCUUCAAAAUUAUUAUUUUGAGAAAACAAAUACAAUUUCUUUUUUAGGUAAUCCAAUAUCCUCGAGUAUAUUUAAAUAUGGAAAUAUUAUUUCCAUAUUAGAAGAGAUACUAAAAGAUCUUAUUAUAACAUCAUUAGAGUCCCAUCAUUUUCUCUAAAUAUCUCUUUUGUGGUGAAAGAUUUGGAAUUGCACAUCAAUCAUUUUGGAAUGGGUAAUUGAUCACCCUAUUUUUCAAAAAAUAAGAAAGAUAAAAAAUAGUUAUUUUUUUUAAAGAUAUAUUUGAAAGUGUUGAGUUUAUGGAAGGUAUUAGUACUUAUACAACCACAAACAUUUGAUUUUUGUUAUCUAAAUUAUUUUAAUAAAAAUGUUUUUUUUUUUUUGAAGUUUAUGCUUAUUAAAAAUGCUUAUUUAAAAAAUGUUAAUGAAAUUUUAAAAAAUAAAAUCUAAUUAAACACUUCUGAGAUAGAGAGGUUUCCCUUGACUACCCGAGCGUAGAUAAACACUUCUGAGAUUUGGUUGGUAAUCCCAAGUUCGUGUGCAGUUGAUUAUUUUUUAAAUUUUGUAUAGUUGAAUAAUAUUUGAAUUUUAAAUUUUCAUCUAUGUGAUAUUUACUCAUUUCAAACUUUUUGAAUAUGCAUGUUUAUUUAUUAUUCUGCCGUCUCUCUAUUGUAUUUUAAAAUUUAGAAUAUGUGUAUUUAUAUUAUUUGAAAUUGAAAAUUUAACUUUUGCUCUUACAGUAGGCUUUAACUCUUUGUUUGUCCGUGUUGUAGGUGAGAGAGAAGGAAAAGUUCCAUUGUUUGAUUGAAUUGGAAUUGUUUCGUGCAUGGGGUGUCAUACAUAAUUCCACUUAUUACUAGUUGAAGGUCUUCUUUGCCUCUGUCUUCUUCCCCAUCUCCCCAAGUUGUUCUAACCUUUUUAUAUCUACCUAUUACAUGUCAAAAGGUUGUUUCGCUCUUCAAUGUUUUGAAACAAGUUCAUUAUGAAAAUCUCUCACAAGCAAACGUCAUGUGCAUUAUGAAUAAUUUCAUCUCAAAAAAAUUGUUUGAGAGGUUUCAAAAGUGUAUCGAAACUAAUAAUUUUAAUGAAUAAAAAAAUAAUUCUUCGUUAGAUUCUUACAUUUUAUUUCAACGAAUAAAAUUUAGGAAAAUUUUUAAAAAUAGCAAAUUUUACAAAAAUAUUUACAAUUUAUAACAAAUUUAUAGUCAUUGAUAUGCUAUAACGAUAGUUACUAGUAAAUAUUUUAAUUUAUUUUGUUAUUUUUAAAAAUGCUCAUAAAAUAUUAUAGUGAGGGAACAAUGAUGAAUCACAUAGUUUUCUUGUGGUGAUGUCGCUUUUUAUCCCUCUUUACAUUCUAAAAUCUCAAAUACAAAUCAUAAAACAAGUAGAUAUACAUUCAAUUAACAUGAUUUUGAUUCUAAUAAAUUAGAAAGACAAAAAUAACUAACUAAUUAUGGAAAAGUAAUAUUUUAACAUGAAUUAUUGAUUUUUAAUUAGAGGUAAUUUUAAAAUAAAUAAAAUAAAAGAAAAUAUUACAAAUCAAAUCUAAACUAACUUUGAUUUUACUUCUUUAAUUGCAAUAUAACAUAGAUACAUUGGCUAUGAAGUGCAAUUUCUUAUAUUAUAAUAUUUAAAAGAUUUAAAUUUAAAAAUAAAAAUAAGUAAUCUCAAGUCCAAUAUUGGACCUGUGGGGCUUAGCCCAUCAAUUUAAAAAUUCAAAAUGCACACUCAACGGUCACAUUUUCCUAGGAUCAUCCUAUUUAAUGCCCUUCUACUUGUCAACUCCAUCGAAAUCCUUCAUUUCUUGUGGCACCGUCUAAAAUUUGCUUCGAUUGAAGAAAUUUUGACGCCCAUGACAGCGUUGAAAUUUCUUCAAUGCAAACAAAUUUUUUAUCUUCCUUUCAUCGAGGAUUUUCAUACCAUGUGAAGGAGAGAUCAGUUCCAUCAGUUCCAAGUCGUUCGUGAGUCAUCUUCUUUCCUGUGUAGUUUCAUCUCUUGAUUUUGGAUUGCUUGUUCAAGAUUUAUUUUCGAAUUUUGGAUUGUUUGCUAUUCGGAUAGGCAGAAGGUUUGCACGAUGAUAGAUCUGGAGUACCUGAAUCGUUUAUUGAUUCUGUAGUUUAAUCUUAUGAUUUUGGUGAUUUCGAAGCGUACAAUAUAAUCGUACUGUGUUAUGAAGUAAAUAAGAUUUUGUAGGGUUUUUGAAAGUUAAUUUAGAUAUUUCCUGCAUUUUAGUCUUGAUAGAUCUGGGUACCUGAACCGUUCAGGUUUGCAUGCUGUGAUUGUGUUGUUCUUUUUUGAUUUUGGAGAGAGUCCUUGGGUAAUUUUGAGGAUUGUUCUUUUUUUAGUUUUUUUUUGCAUGCAUUCAAACACACGCAUGGUUUUUAAACUGGGGUUCUUGAAUAUUUGUUGGUUUUCUCGAAUAUUUGCCGGUUUUUUUUUCUCAGAAGAAUUGAUCUUAUAUUUGUGUAUCUCUCUGUGCAACUUUAAUAUAAAGUUAUUAAGGAAGAAGAGAAAGGAGGAAGAAGGGAGAGAGAAAAGGUAGAAACGACCUAAUAGUAGGCAUGAGUAUUAAGAUGCAGCAGAGCCACCACUUAGUGGCGCUAAGGUUUAAUGAGCAAAUUGACAGUAGAAAAGGGUCCACAUCCAUACCUAAGUUACUAUUGCUCUGGGUUCUGUUGGUGGCAUUCAUUAGUAUGUUAAACUACAAAGAAAUGGAUGGGUGGUGUUAACAAAGUUAGAAGAAAGUAAGUUCUGGGAAGUAUGUGUGACCAGACGACAAAGAUGCUUCUGCCUCAACUUAGUGUCAGUGUCAAACUAUGUCCAGGCUUUGGCCAUUCUCAUUUCAUUUCCAGUACUUCAAAAUCGUAUCAGCAAUUGAUCAGGAAAAUGUGUUUCGAUUUCUGUCUUUUAUUAGUCUCGGUUAGUUAGGCUUAAGAGUAAGGGAUAUAAUUCAUUUUUCUUGUUUCAGCUAGAAAUUACGUCGAUGUCUUGAUUUUUAGUUUUUUUAGGGCUGUUUGGUUGUUUUUUUAGGGGUGUUUGGUUAGUUAGGCCUAAGAAGUAAGGGCUAGUGAAAGAGAAGCAUUUGAUUGUCCUACAAGUAUCUGAAUCGCCAAUGAAAGCAGAGGUUAUUUCCUCUGAAUUUCCACGAAUUGUUCAGGUUUGGAUUCUGUGAUUGUGUUGUUCUGUUGUUCUCUUUUUUAUUUUGGAGUGUUCUAGGAAAUUUUGAGGUUUGUUAUUUUUUAGUUUUUUUGGCUUGCCUUUAAUCACGCUCGUUUGGGAAUAGACAGGCUUCAGAGAAUGAAUCUCCUUUUUAAGGGUUCGUUGGGAGCGAAGUGACCAUAUGGCAUCCCUUUCUGCACCUGCUCAGUCUCUCUCUUGCCUUUUUCAUACUACAUAUUUUUGUUUCUCAAUUUAGUGUCAGUGUCAACCAUGUCUAUGCUUUGGCCAUUCUCAUUUCCACUUUCCACUACUCUAAAAAUGUAUCUGCAAUUGAUCAGGUAAAAGUGUUUCAAUUCUCUGUCUUUGGUUCAUCUCCGUUAGUUAGUCUUAAGAGUAAGGGAGAUAAUUCGUUUUUCUUGUUUCCCUCCAUGUAUUGAUUUUUAGUUUUUUAGGGAUGCUUGGUUGGUUUGAAUGCACGAAACAUUUGCUGGUACACGAUUCAAACAGCUUGCCCAGUCAUGUUUUUCUAUUUUUUUUUAAUAUUUUGGAAUUUUGCAUGUGUGAUUUCUGUAUAUAUUAUUCUUGCCCUUUUCCUUUAUCAUCAUUUAUUUUGAUUUUGGAGAGGUCUCUUGGUUAUUUGUUAUUUGCACAUAUACAAGGGUUGAAAAUUUCAAUCCCACCUCUCUUUUAUAUUACAUUCAUUUAGUUUUGGCUGUUAUCUAAUUGAACUAUUUGAUCAUCAAAUAAUUGUGUUACCUUUUCUUCUAGAUGUUUAGAUUCAUUUUUCUCACUAUUUUAGUUUUCUUAAUGUGUGACAGUCUUUGUUUUUUAUUGAACUAUUGUGUGGCAGUCUUUAUUUAUUGGUUAUCUUUAGUUUCACUAUUGUUCUUUUUUUAAUGUUUUCUUAGUUUUUAAUAAGUGUGACAAAAUAUGAAUUAAUUUUUUUCUUUGAACAAAUGUGGAAUUUAUUUUCUUUUAAUGUAGUUGUGUCCCCAAUAAAUUUAUUUUGGCGAUUUAACAAUCCAUCAUGUUCUUUUUCAUUUUUCUGUUGUAUUUUCUUCGGUUCUUUGUUGUGGUAUGUCUAUUUUUGAGACAUUCUUAAUUUAGUUUUAUUUCUUUUAGCUUCCUGCAUCAUUUUGUAUUAUGGAUUGUUAUGAAAUUUUGAGAUUAUGCUUUAUUUUGUUUUUUGGUCCUUUGCUGUGAUGUCUUUUGAUUAUUUCUUUUGAGUGAACAGUUCAUGUAAGAUUUUCUGCAUGAGAAUAAAUUGAUUAUUUAAUUUGGUCAAAGAAGUUCAAAAUUUACAUGUGAAAUUUACACUCAGUGGCUGUAAGGUUUAAUGAGAAAAUUGGAAGUAGAAAAGAGUCCACAUUAAUUCAUUCAGCCAAGAGGGCUUGGCAUCCUAAGUUUGCUCUGGGUUCUGUUGGUGGCAUUCAUCAAUAUGUUAAUCUAUUAGGGAAUGUAUGGUUAUAACAAAGUAAGAAGAAUGGAAGUUCUGGGGGAGUAUUUGUGACAAGAGGGCAAGGAUGCUUCUGCAUCAAUUUAGUGUUAGUCAAUCAUGUCUAUGCUUUGGCCCUUCUCAUUCCACUUUCCACUACUACAAAAAUGUAUCUGCAAUUGAUCAUGUAAAAGUGUUUCAAUUUUCUGUCUUAGGUUCAUCUCAGUUAGUUAGUCUUAAGAGUAAGGGAGAUAAUUCAUUUUUCUUGUUUCAGCUAGAUGUUACCCUCCAUGUCCUGAUUUUUAAUUUGGCUUCCUAAGUGUGCUCUAGGUUCUGUUGGUGCAUUCAUCAGUAUGUUAAUCUACAGGUGAAUCUAUAGUUAUAACAUAGUAAGAAGAAUGGAAGUUCUUGGGGAGUUUGUGUGACAAGAGGGCAAGGAUGCUUCUGCAUUAAUUUAGUAUCAGUGUCAACCAUGUUUAUGCUUUGGCCAUUCUCAUUUCCACUUUCCACUACUCCAAAAAUGUAUUAUCUGCAAUUGAUCAGGUGAAAGUGUUUCAAUUUUCUGUCUUUGGUUCAUCUCAGUUAGUUAGUCUUAAGAGUAAGGGAGAUAAUUCGUUUUUCUUGUUUCAGCUAGAUAUUACUCUCCAUGUCUUGAUUUUUAGUUUUUUAGGGGUGCUUGGUUGGUUUGAAUGCAGGAAACUUUUGCUGGUACACGAUUCAAACAGCUUUCCAUGUCAGGUUUUUCUAUUAUUUUUCUUUAAUAUUUUGGAACAUGUGUAAUUUCUGUAUAUAUUAUUCUUGCCGUUUUCCUUUUUCAUCAUUUAUUUUGAUUUUGGAGAGGGUCUCUUGGUAACUUGACUUUUCUUUUAGUUUUGACUGUUAUCUAAUUGAACUAUUUGAUUAUCAAAUAAUUGUGUUACUUUUUGUUCUAGAUGUUUAUAUUCAUUUUUCCCACUCUUUUAGUUUUGUUAAUGUGUGACAGUCUUUGUUUUUCAUUGAACUAUUGUGUGGCAGUCUUUAUUUAUUGGUUAUCUUUAGUUUCACUAUUGUUCUUUCUUUAAUGUUUUUCUUAGUUUUUAAUAAGUGUGACAAAAUAUGAAUUUAUCUUUUUCUUUGAACAAAUGUGGAAUUUAUUUUUCUUUUAAUGUAGUUGUGUCCCCAAUAAAUUUAUUUUGGCGAUUUAACAAUCCAUAAUGUUGUUUUUCAUUUUUCUGCUGUAUUUUCUUUGGUUCGUUGUUGUGCGAUGUCUAUUUUUGAGACAUUUUUAAUUUAGUUUUAUUUCUUUUAGCUUCCUGCAUCAUAUUGUAUUAUGGAUUUUUUCGAAAAUUUGAGUUUGAUCUUGUUUUCUGGUCCACUGCUGUGCAGUUUUUUUUUAUGAGAUAUUUUUAUUUAGAUUUAUUAUCUUUUAGCUUGUUUUGCAUUUUGCAUUAUAGAUUAUUUUUUAAAAUUUUGAGGUUGUUUUUUUUCUUUGAUCUUUUGUUGCGGUGACAAUUUUAAUUUAGAUUUAUUAUCUUUUAGCUUGCUUGCAUUAUGGAUUGUUAUGAAAUUUUGAGAUGAUGCUUUAUUUUGUUUUUUGGUCCUUUGCUGUGAUGUCUCUCUAUAAGACAUUUUUAAUUUAGGUUUAAUAACUUUUAGCUAGCUUGCAUUGUGGAUUGUUAUGAAAUUUUGAGUUUCUGCUUUCUUUUGAGUUUUGGUGAUGCCUUUUUACGAGACAUUUUUAAUUUAGGUUAAUUUUUUAGGUUGCUUGCAUUUAUGGAUUGUUCUGAAAUUUUGACUUUCUGCUUUUGUUUUUUAUGUCAUUUGUUGUGUGAUAUUCUCUUUAUAAGAUAGAGAUAUUUUUAAUUUAGGUUUACUAUUUUUUAGCCUGCUUGCAUUUGGUAUCAUAUAUGAAUUGUUCUGAAUUUUGAGUUUCUUCUUUUUCAGUCAUUUGUUUGCGAUAACUUUUUAUAAGACAGACAUUAAGAUUUAUUAUUUUUGGACUUGUUUGUAUUUUGUAUCACGGAUUGUGGUUUUUUAAAUUCAGAGGAGGAACUAGAAAUUGUUCUUGUGAUAUGUUAAAAUCUAGUUUACUGCAAAGAAUGAAUUCUAAAACAGAGGGUAUGAAUUCGUCAAUAAUUUUUCUCCAUUUCUGCGUUGAGCAAUGUUUAGCUGAUAUGUUUGUGUAUUCUUUACAUUAGUGCAGCACCACAUGCUAAUUUAGGUGUGAAAUGCUAAUUUAGAUGUGAAACACUUCCAAAGAUGACGAGAAAUCAAAGAUUGUCGUAGUAAAAAACCUCACCAGUUUUUCCUUUCAGGUUUUUCUUUUCUUUUUCUUUAAUAGUUUGGAAUUUUGCUGGUGUGAUUUCUGCUUUUCUCUUAUCAUUUAUUUUGAUUUUGGAGAGCAACUUUGGUAAUGUUAAGGUGAUUUAAGAAAAGUUGGUUGUCCAAGAAUCAAUAUUUUUAUAUUACCUUAAAUCUUCCUAAGACAUGUUGGGUCUUUCUUUGGCCUUUGUUAGUGUCUUCUAUUAAGUCUGUUAGUUUCACUUUAGUUGGGUCUUUUUUUAAUUUUAUUUUAUCUUUUAAAUUCCAAAUCCUACUCAUUUGGUCAUGACGAUUGAAUAAUCAUUGUUAAAUUUAUUUCUUGUUGGGAGUGUAGAUUUUAUUUUCUUUUUGGCCUUUGUUAUUUGCAUCUAUACAGGGGUUCGAAAAAUUCAAACCCUUCCCUCUUUUAUUCGACAUUCUUUUAUUUUUAUUAUGUACUAUUGGAUUGUUAAAAAAAUUGUGUUACUAUUUCUUACAUUCCAUAAAGAACCCUUUCUGAUGGAUUAUUUCUUAUUGAACUGUUUUAAAAUUUUGAGUUUCUUCUUUUUCUUUUUUGGGUCCAUUGUUGGGGGAUGUACAUCUUUAAUUUUUUUUUUUUUUUAUAAGAGAUGAUACAUCUUUAAUUUAGAUUUAUUAUCGUUAGCUUGUUUUGCAUUUUGUAUUAUGUUUUUUGAAAUUUUGAGUUUCUUCUUUUUCUUUCUUUGGUCAUGUGUUGUGCGAUGUUAUUUGCAUUAGGGGUGUUUGGUUGGUUGUUUUUUAGGGGUGUUUUGGUUAGUUAGGCUUAAGAAGCAAGGGCUAGUGAAAGAGAAGCAUUUGAUUGUCCUACAAGUAAUAAGCUUCUCCUCAAUCAUUCAACCAUUUUUUUAGUAAAGAAAGAGGCUUCUCCUUUGGCAACCAAAGUCCGUCCUUGGUCAAUAUAUAUCAAAAUAAAUAAGAUCCAUCUUUGGUAAUUUUUUAAAAAAUUAAAUCUAUAAAUACUCAUUUCAUCUCUAAAAUUAUGUGAUUUGUACUUUCUAAAAUUCCCUCGAUGGUACUAAUACACUCUUAUAUUUGUAUUGUAAUUAUCAUGUCCUUUUUCUAUGGUUUUUUAAAGUUAAUUUAGAUCCUUAUUCGCUCUAGGUAUAAGUUGAAUGGAAGAGUUUUUUAGCCUUGAUAGAUCUUGAGUACCUGAAUCGCCGAUGAAACAGAGGUUAUUUUCUCGGAAAUUCCACGAAUUGUUCAGGUUUGGAUUCUGUAAUUCUGUUGUUCUUUUUUUAUUUUGGAGAGUGUCCUGGGUAAUUUUGAGGAUAUUAUUUUUUGUUUUUUUUCGGCUUGCAUUUAAUCACGCGCGUUGGGGAAUAGACAGGCUUCGGAGAAUGAAUCACCUUUUUAAGGUUUCGCUGGGGAGCGAAUUGGCCAUAAGGCAUCCCUUUCUGUUCAGUCUCUCUCUUGCCUUUUUCAUACUAUAUGGUUGUUGAUAUGGGGUUAUUGAAUGAUUGUUGCUUUUAUUUUCAUAAGAAGUGAUCUUAUAUUUUUGUCUCUCUGUGCAACUUUAAUAUGAGGUUAUUAAGGAAGGAGAUAAAGGAGGAAGAAGGGACGGAGAAAAGGAAGAAAUGACUGGAUUGUUGGGAUGGGUAUGAAGAUGCAGUAGAGCCACCACCUAGGGGCUGUAAGGUCUAAUGGGCAAAUUGAAAGUAAAAAAGAGUGCAUCCAUUCAAGCUAAGAGAGCUUGGGUUCCUAAAUUACUAUUGCUCUGGGUUCUGUUGGUGGCAUUGAUUGGUAUUGUUAAUCUACAAGGGAAUUGAUGGUGUUAACUAAGUUAGAAGAAAGGAAGUUUUGGGCGUAUGUGUGACCGGAGCACAAAGAUGCUUCUGCAUCAAUUUACUGUGAGUGUUAAACUAUGUCCAUGCUUUGGUUAUUCUAUUUUCUACUUUCCACUCCUCUCGAAAUGUAUUAGCAAUUGUUCAUGUAAAUGUGUUUCGAUUUCUGUUUGAUACUUCUCAGUUAGUUAGGCUUAAAAGUAUAGAAAUUAUCUUGAUGUCUUGAUUUUUAGGGUUUUUUUCAGCGGUUUUUGGUUUUUGGUUUUUUUUUUGUUGGAUUUUGGCUAGUUAGGCUUAGAGGUGCAAGGACUUGUGAAAGAGAAGCAUUUGAUUGACCAACGAGUAAUUAGUUUCUCCUCAAGCAUCCCACCACUUUUCUAUUAAAGAAAUACAGGUACGUCUACGCUAUUACUUUUCAUGUCCUUUUACUUAAGAUAUUUAUAUAAAUAUAUAUAAAAAUAAAUAAGAUCCAUCUUUGGUAAUUUUUUUAAAAAUCAAAUCUGUGAAUAUUCAUUUCAUCUCUAAAGUUUUGCGUUUUGUUACUUUUUAAAAUUCCCUCCAUGUUACUAUUACACUCCUAUAUUUGUGUUGUAAUUAUGAUGUCCUUUUUCUAUGGUCUGUUAAAGUUAAUUUAAAUCCUUUCUUGCUCUUGGUUUAUGUUGAAGAAAUGGAAGAGUUUUUUAGCCUUAAUAGAUCUGGAGUACCUUAAUCGCUCUUGCAUUUUGUGAUUCUGUUCUUUUUCUAUUUUGAAGAGUGUCCUGAGUAAUUUUUAGGAUUUUUAUUUUAUAGUUUUUGUCGCUUGCAUUUAAACACGGACUUGGUUGUUGAACUGGGGUUCUUGAAUAAUUGUUGGUUUUGUUUUCUGAAGAAGUGAUCUUAUAUUUGUGUAUCUCUAUGUGCAACUUUAAUAUGGGGUUAUUAAGGAUGGAGAUAAAGGAGGAAGAAUGGAGAGAGAAAAGGCAGAAAUGACUUAAUUGUUGGGAUGAGUAUGACCCCAUGUCUAGUAGUUCCCAAGUAUGAUAUAGGAAGGCAGAGAGUCAAGGCCUUGUCUGACUCUAAUAGAAUUAAGUAGCUAACGCAACACAAUAUUCUUUGCACCUUCAGUCUGUGAAUCUGAGGAGCAAGAGUUUGGCCAGAGGAGCUAGUCUCGUAACUACGGGCGCAGUUCUAGUUCUUUACAAGACAGAUGGGAACUGUAGCUAACAAGUGUGCCCUGAGUGGAUUCCUACCACUACUCUUUCUACUAUAUUGGCAGGACGGGUGCCAAGUUAUUAGUAGCUAGGCAGCUAAGCCAGUAGUAGUUCAGUUCAGGUGCUGUUCCCAAACCUAGUUGACUACGUUGUAGCGUAGCGGUACGGGACAGAAAAAGAAUUGAUAGCGGUACACUGAACACAAAGAAAUUUGAUAGACAUAUGUUGAGAGUUCGACAAGUAGCACUGAAUCUACUAUCAGUAGUGAUUUAUAGAAGUUGACUCGCUUAAACGAAGAGAGUGAACAAAGCAUAGCGGAGUGAAGAGAGAAAUGGUUUCAUUAGAUAGCUCUCUCGAUGUCCUUGUUAUCUUUCCUAGGUAGAUUGUGACUUAUUCAUUCUUUCUCGCUGACUCUAGUUUCCCCGCCGUGGAUCCUUUCUCUGUUAGGCGCUGUAAUUUAGAAUUCAGAAACGUAUCUGUCUUAUUAUCUUUGAGUCAAAGCAAUGUUACAUAUUUAUAUAGAUAAUAAGCUAAACCCUAGAGACUAUGUAAAAUUACAAUAAAGGACAUAUGUAUAUAUAUAUAUAUAUCAUAACACUCCCCCUCAAGUUGGAGCAAAUAUGUCGAUCAUGCCCAACUUGUUGCACAGAUAGCUUAUCCUUGUUCCAUUUAAAGCUUUAGUUAGAAUAUCUCUCAAUUGUUCUCCGGUCUUCACAUAUCCUGUGGACACCAACCCAUCUUGGAUUUUCUCACGAAUGAAGUGACAAUCCACCUCAAUAUGUUUAGUUCGUUCAUGAAAUACUGGAUUAGAUGCAAUAUGAAGUGCAGCUUGAUUAUCACACCAUAAUUUAGCUGGCACGGUAAUACUGAAGCCUAUCUCAGAUAAUAGUUGGUGAAUCCAUACUAUUUCACACACAGAUUGUGCCAUAGCUCUAUAUUCUGACUCAGCACUCGAACGAGAAACAACAUUUUGUUUCUUACUCUUCCAUGAAACUAAGUUUCCACCUACAAAAACACAAUAUCCAGAAGUCGAUCUCCUAUCCUCACGAGACCCCGCCCAAUCAGCAUCAGAAAAACAUUCAACUCUCGUAUGUCCAUGAUCUUUGUAUAGGAUCCCACGUCCAGGAGCAGCUUUUAGAUAACACAAAAUCUGCUCUACUGCAGCCCAAUGAUCCACUGUAGGGGAAGACAUGAAUUGACUUACAACACUUACAGAAUAUGCAAUGUCUGGUCGAGUCACUGUUAAGUAGUUCAACUUCCCAACUAAUCUCCUAUAUCUCUCAGGAUCUUUACAUAAUUCUCCUUCUUUAACAAGUUGCUGAUUUGGCAUCAUUGGAGUGCCACUUGGUUUGGUGCCUAAUUUUCCUGUUUCAGACAACAAAUCAAGUACAUAUUUUCGUUGAGACAAAUAAAUACCUUUCUUGCUUCUCAUCACUUCAAUGCCCAAAAAAUAUUUCAAUUGGCCCAAAUCUUUUGUAUAAAACUGACCCUGAAGGAAAGUUUUGAGAGACGAAAUACCCAAUGCAUCAUUUCCAGUAAUAACAAUAUCAUCAACAUAUACAACUAGUAGAACUAUACCCUUCUCAGAUCGGCGAUAGAAAACUGAAUGAUCAGAUGUACUCUUCUUCAUACCAAAGCAUACAAGGGCUUGACUAAACUUACCAAACCACGCACGAGGACUCUGUUUCAAACCAUACAGAGAUUUUCGAAGGCGACAUACUUUAUCACUCUCCCCCUGAGCAACAAACCCUGGUGGUUGUUCCAUAUAAACUUCCUCUUGAAGAUCACCGUGAAGAAAAGCAUUCUUAAUGUCAAGUUGAUGCAACGACCAUUUAUUGGUAGCAGCCAUGGAAAGAAAUAGGCGAAUGGAAGUUAACUUGGCAACCGGAGAGAAUGUAUCUGAAUAAUCAGUGCCAUAGAUUUGAGCAUAACCUUUGGCAACAAGGCGAGCCUUUAAACGAGCCACUGUUCCAUCAGGAUUCAUCUUGACAGCAAACACCCAUUUACAACCAAUGGCCUUCUUUCCUGCAGGACGAGAUACCAAAUCCCAAGUAUCAUUAUCAUCUAAAGCAGUCAUCUCCUCAAUCAUUGCAUUUUGCCAGCGAGGAUGAGACAAAGCUUCAUGAACAGAGUUAGGAAUAGAUGUGGACUCAAGAGACGUAAUAAACGCAUAUGUGGAGGGAGAUAACUGGUGAUAGGAAAUAAAGGAAGAAACGGGGUAAGUACACUUGCGUUUACCUUUGCGAAGAGCAAUGGGAAGAUCAUCACUUGGCGCUGGAUCACAUGAUGAAGGAAGCAUUGAUGGAGGACAUGAGUCUGAAGGUUGUGGUGGAGGUCGUCGGGAGUAGACUUGAGAAAUCAACGGGCGGGAAGGAGGCACAUCAGUAGACAAGGAUGGUGUGGGAGAGGUAACCUCAUAUAUAAAAAGAUUGUCAUCCUCCCCCUGACACAAACUCGAUGGUGAUGAAGUAAAGGGUGUAUCUUCAAAAAAGACAACAUCAGGCGAAACCAGAUACCUUUUAAGGGUAGGACAAUAACAACGAUAACCCUUUUGAACACGUGAAUAACCCAAGAAGAUACACUUCAAGGAUUUGGGAUCUAACUUAGUAUGAUGAGGACGAACGUCACGAACAAAAGACACAACCAAAUAUCUUAGGAGCAAUAGGAAACAAAUGCUUGGUAGGAAAAAGAACACGAUAGGGAAUCUCACCAUUAAGAACAGAGGAAGACAUUCUAUUAAUCAAAAAACAAGCUGUAGAGACAGCAUCAACCCAAAAGAUUUUUGAAACAUGCAUUUGAAACGAUAAAGCACGGGCAGUUUCAAGUAAAUGCCUAUUUUUUCGCGCAACACCAUUUUGAGAUGGAGUGUCAGCACAGGAAGAUUGAUGAAUAAUGCCAUUUUCACACAAGUAAGAGCCAAGAGAAUGAGAAAAAUAUUCACCCGCAUUAUCAGUACGCAAAGUUUUGAUAGAGACAUUAAAUUGGUUUUUUAUUUCAGUAUGAAAGGCACAAAAAUGAGAUAAUAACUCAGAACGAUUUUUCAUUAAAUAUAACCAAGUUAGACGAGAAUGAUCGUCAACAAAAGUAACAAAAUAACGAAAGCCUGUUUGAGAUACAACUGGACACGGACCCCAAAUAUCAGAAUGAACUAACUCAAAUGGAGCAAUUGCUCGUUUAUCGACUCGAGGACUCGAACUAAGACGAUGAAAUUUCGCAAAUUGACACGAAUCACAAUUUAAAGAGGACAAAGACCUAAAUUCUGGAUAAAGUUUCUUCAACACGAACAAAGAUGGAUGACCUAAACGACAAUGGACUUCAAAAGGAGAGGGAACGACAGGACACGCCACAGCUUGCGAUACUUGAUGAUCAAAGAGAUAAAGGCCUCCUGACUCAUAUCCUCUACCAAUAAUCUUCUUCGUCACACGAUCCUGAAACAAGCAAUAACCAGAAAAGAACAUGACAACACAAUUUAGGUCAUGAGUAAGUUGACUAGUAGAAAUUAAAUUAAAGGAUAAGUUAGGCAAAUGUAACACAGAAGAGAGAAAAUGAUGGGGUAAGGUGAAUAGUGCCAGAGCCAAGAACAGAAGAUGUGGAGCCAUCGGCCAAUGUAACCGAUGGAAAAGGGGCAGGGGACAACGGUCUAGAAAAUAGGUGAGAAUUACCUGUCAUAUGAGCUGUGGCACCAGAGUCUAUGACCCAUUUGGUAGAUGAUGUAAGAAGACACUUUAUAUUACCUGGGGCAACAGUGGAUGCAAUCGGAGUAGAGGAAGAUGACGCUUGUAAUGACUCUUGGUAAUUCUGAAACUUAGCAAACUCAUCUGCCGAAAUAGUAACUGACGCCUCUGGUAUAUCACAUGUGGAGGCUAUCUGAGCAUGUUGAGAUCGUUGACUAUUCUUAUAUAGCAAUUUCCGACAAUCACGUUUCAUAUGGCCUGGCUUACGACAGUAGUUACAAACAAUCUCUACAGACUCUGGUUUUCGAUGAUCAGUACUAUUCCUCUGAGGUGCCCGAGGGUUAUUGUUCUUGCUAAAGAGAGCACUACUGGGUUGAGGAAUAGACACACUAGUCGGAGAGCUUUCAAUGCGAAGGACUCGAGUGAAGGCAUCAUCUAAUGAUGGAAUCUUGGAGUCAGAGAGAAUCUGUGUCUUUGCCAUUCCAAAUUCAGGUAAGAGUCCAUUCAGGAAAAUCAUAACAGCCAUCUUCUCUCGUUGAACUUGUUGAACUUUAACAUCAGGACUAAAAGGUAACAACAAGCCAACUCGGCAAUGAUCUUCUUAAGACGCAUAAAGUAGCUGGUGACAGACUCAGCUUUCUGUUCCGCACGAGAAAAUUGCAUACAAACUUCAAACAUUCUAUGCACUUGCUCUUUACCUGAGUAUAGAAAAUCCAAAAAUUCCAAAAGUUCUUUAACAGACUCACAGUGAUCAACCAAUCCAAUUAUCUCACUCUCAAUUGAAUUCUUGAUCUGAAGAUAUAAACGGGCAUCAUCACGAAGCCAAUCCUUCUUCUGCUUUGCAUCUUUUGGGGGAUCUUCAGUCAUAUGAUCAUCCAUAUCAGUACUUCUCAAAUAAAAUAAAAUUGUCCGACGCCAAUCGUAAUAAUUGGAUCCAUUUAACUUAUGUUCUGUGAUCUUAGAGGCCAAGGGAAUAACGUUGGAGACUACCAAAUUUUUUAUGUCGGCCAUAUUGAAGUCACACGUUGAUUGUAGUCCACUCGAACAAAGAGAAAAUCAAUCCAAACAGCUGCAAAAUUGGAAAAAGACACAAAACCAAUCGUGUAACCUUCGGUUUUCGUCAAACCCGAAUGUUAUUUGAUAGACCCAAUGGUACAGACUGGCAGGAAACAAUGGUUCGAGACAAGCCCAGAAGACAGAAGACAAAUCGGACUUCUCACGCGCUCUCACGCGCCUGUGUGGAUGAAGGUGACGAUGAUUCCGGCGGCGCGUGACGGUCACGCGCGGUGUUUUCCGGCGAUCGGCGAAGACAGACUUGGGCGGACGGAGGUGGUGCUUCUUAUGGUAUGGGCGGUGUCGACAAAUGGUCACCGGAAGGUAACCCAAACUUCAAACCUAAUGGAGGGCUCUGAUACCAUGUAAUUUAGAAUUCAGAAACGUAUCUGUCUUAUUAUUUGUUAAGUCAAAGCAAUGUUACAUAUUUAUAUAGAGAAUAAACUAAACCCUAGAGACUAUGUAAAAUUACAAUAAAGGACAUAUAUUACAUAAUAAUAUAUAUAUAUCAUAACAAGGGCCUCCCCUAUCCUUAUUCAUUGAUCGCUCUCUUUGCCGCGAAUCUCGGCAUGGUGGUUCUUCGCCUCGCAAUAUUCUUUGCUCCUCCUUCCUGGGCUUGAUUGGUACAUCAAGCAUAUCGGCAUUUUGCUUCUUCGGUGUGGUACAUAUAUCUAUCAAUGAAAAGAAAGUAAUAGAAUUCAUUCCCGCGUACUCGCAUAUUGAAUUGCGCCUUCGGACCAUCAAAGAAAGGUCCAGGGUCCGAAGUCCGCUGGAUUUAUCCGGAGUCCAGAGAAUUUAUCCGUAGGACCAUCCAUAUGGAGGGAAGUAGUCCGGAGGAUGUUGGAAUUUUUUGUCCUAAAACUCGUAGUUUAUAAAUCAUAUUCUGUUCAAUAAAGUUGUUAUUGAGAAAUUAAAUAUUAUAAUCUUAAAUCCAAUAAAUCAAGUUCCAAGGCUAUUUUUGAAUAAACUUGAACUUUAUGUGUAAACAUAAACGUGGAUCAAGUUCGAGUAUAUAGCCUAAAUAGUCUAUAGUAUAUGAAAUAAAGGUUGGGUGCCUUAUUUAGGGAAACUAUGGAUGCGGUCCACUUUGUGGUACAAACGAGGUGAUCCUAAUCGUUCAUGUAGAGACAUGAAAGUGAGGGCAUUCUAUGUAAAAUGUUUACAUAAGACUGAACCAUGAAUUAGUUUUUUUUACGUUAUAACACCGUUUACUGUUUAAAACUGACUAUCUCAACAUUUUGACUUUUUACUAAGAAAAGUCAAAGUUUGACUUUUGACUAGAAAUAUCUAAUGACCAUUUUACCCUUGGACUAAGUUAGUGGGAAAAUCCAACAUUUUGUUGGAUAAUCCCACUAACUCUUAGUGGGAUAUGUGGCUAUAUGAGAUAUAGACACCUAGCCCACUAAGUUCCACUAAUUGUUAGUGGAACAUUUGGUGUUGAGAUUUGGCAAAAUGAAUUGCAUGCAUUUUUGCAUGUAAUUAGGUUAUAAAUAGAGGUGUUUUCAAAUGUUGAAGAACUUUUGCCUCUUUUAUCAUUUUCAUCAUCUCAACCAAAUAAAAAAAAAGGAAACCUUCCAAUCCCAUUUUAUCUCCAUUACUUUCUACACCAAAAUUGGGUCCCACAACCCGGUUCUUUGUCUAGAGGAUAGCAGUUGAGUACUAGUGGUGGUCUCGGUUAGAAUUGGUAAGAAGAUAUCAAACCUUUUGAAAGCUUCAAAGGUAAUAUUUCCUAAAACCCUAAUUUGAUUAAUUUAUGGUUACAUGUUAAUUGUGGCAAUUAGGGUAGAAAUUCGAUUUUUUUUCCGCUGUGCAUGACUUAGUUCUAUCAGAGGAUUUAUUCGUAGGACCAUCCGUAAUUAACAGAAAUAGGACUAUCCAUUAUCCUCCGUCCGGAGUCCGCAGGAUACUUAUCCGUAGGACUAUCCGUAAUUAACCGAAGUAGUCCUCCAGAAUUUCUGUAAUUAACCGAACUUUGCACCUCUUGACUAUGAAUCAUAUAUAUUGAUUUUGACCGGAGCAAAGAUCAUUGCCCACGGAGCGGCGCAAAGAAUAUUGCGACCUGUGGAUUCAUUGAGGCGGUGAAGAAUUGCCAUUUUAUGAGCUUGUAAAACCCCUCCGGAGGAGAAGGAUAGGGGAGCAAGGUUCAAAGUGGUUUUCAAAGUCAGAGCUAUCCCUUAUUAUUGAGGGCUUUGACCACCUGGACACUUACCUACUCAGUCGCAAGGAUCAAAGAAUUUGAUUGACAAAGAAUAUUGCGAUUUUACCGAGUCCUUCGUCUCGCAAUAUUCUUUGCGCCUUCGAUGAGUCAGGUUAAUAUGGAUAAGUCCUUCGGACUGAUAGCGUCCAAAAAAUAGGCGAGGGCGGGCGGGCUAUAAGUAGGCCGUUUGCUAUUGCUAUAAGGGCUGCUCGCCUUUAUACGGCUUGGCUUCGCUAUCGCUCAUGACUUGUAUUUGUGGUCGGCCUAAAAAGUAGUCUUCCUACCAUAAAAAAAUGCCUAUUAUCUAGUUCGUUAAGCUUCGCCAAAAGCAAGAUGAGGGCGCUUUGCUUCGUAGACAAGGCUCGUCUAGUACUUGACUUACGAGUUCGUGUAGGACUUCCCCCUCUCUCUAAAGGGGCUUAUGCACAGAACUCCUUGUCUACUAAAGAAGCGUUCGAGCGAGCGAGUUCAGCCUGAAAUUGAGUGGUCUCCCUCCUUUUCCCUCACUGAGAUAUUAUGUCUUUCAUUUCCACUUAAGCUUCCCCGCUUUGAGGGAUUAAUUGAUUGGAUACCCGAGAACCAUAAUCUUUCCUAGGAACUGCUUCUACGACGAUAGGUGUAAAGGCAUGAUUAGUUCCACAAAUCUCACUGCACUGACCAUAGUAAACUCCUUCUCAUUGUACCAAAAUGGAGAUCUGAUUUAAACGACCAGGUACAACAUCACAUUUGACACUUGAGGAAGGUACAACCCAACUAUGAGGUAGAUCAGCAGGUGUUACAAUAAUACGUAGAUGAGUUUUGGCUGGUAGAACCACUCUAUUGUCCACUUCUAAUAAACGUGAUUGACCCAAUUCUAGAUCAUCUUCUGGAAUCGUAUAACUGUCAAAAGUGAGUGACUGUUCAUCGGAACUGUUAUAGUCAGAAUACUCAUAAGUCCGAUACCAUUGAUGUCCAAUAGCUUUGAUAGUCAUGGCUGGAUCUACUACUACCUCGUCCAUUGAGUAUAAGAGAGCAAAGGAUGAUAUAGCAAUGAACACCGGAAUGAUACUAGGAAAAAUGGUCCAAAGAAUCUCGAUAGUAGUUCCAUGAACUAUCCUUUGCGGUAUUUUCUUUUUAGAAUAGUGGAAAUGCCAUAAAGCGCGAACCAAAAUCCGUGAUACGAAAACAAAAAUCAAAAUGAGGAAGAAAAAGAUAUCGUGAUGUAUGUCUAUUAUUCCUUGCAUCAUAGGUGUUGCUGUGUCUUGAGAUCCUAAUUGCCAUGGUUCCGCUGCAUCACAAGGAGCAAUUGUGAGGAAUAGCCAUUUGAGAACAAUCAUUUUCUUUGGUUUAUUCUUUGACUGCUCUGCUCCCCCCCCCAAAAAAAGAGAGACUUGUUCUUGCUCUCCCAAUGAAGGAAGACGGAAAUCGCCGGUUGGGUUGGUCCAACCAAGAAAGGCAUGGGAUGGGCAUUGCUUGGGCCGAGUUAAGUAUGGCUACCUAUUACUCCUCACUGCACACUUGAAAUAUCUCUUGAUACUCCCCCCUCUUUCUUACAACUAGUUGCUGCAUGCUAUCGGAUCUCGAGCAAUGGGAGGUUACAAUUGAGAAUCCACACUCUCAUUACAUUACAUUUUGAUGUCGAAAAGGUCUUUUGGGCAAUGAGCAUUCCUUAUGGGCGUAUCCGUUCUCUAUUUAGAGAAAUUCUUAGAGCGGUGCAGUUUAUGCAUGGCGAAAGGGAGCAUUGGAAGGGUCUUAGCUCCAGAAUAUGAAGACGAAUGAAUAAGGAAGAUCAGAUUCAAGGAAUAAGAGGACAAAGGCUCGAUAGGAGGAAAUGAAUAAGGGGUCCGACGGAGCCUUCGGAGUACUAUAAAGAGGAAAGCCUAGACUGAUCGAUGUUCUUGGUAGGAACAUCCAUAAAUCAGGGGAGGGAGAUCGAGUUUCAAACCUUUAUACACAAAACUGAAACUCAAAAUUCACUUCCUUCCUUCCGCAAGGCCGAUAUCUUUCAUAGCAGGCAAGGAUGAGUCCAUUAGGUUCUUCGAUUGAUUCGGAAAAGAAAUGAGAGACAAGAAAAGAUCUUUGAUGGAGAUGAAAAGGAAGAAUCUCAAAUAGACCAAGAUCCAAUUUCGGGUCAUUUCUUGGUGAACAUGAUCUGCCAUAAUCUCUUCGAUCCCUGAAUUUAUGUGCCAGAAUAAAGAGAGAUUUGGUAGGAAAGUGGAAGAGACCUUGUGGUAUAUAAUAAUGAGAGGGAGUGGGAAAGCUGCUGUAAUUCUUUGGAAAAGCCCGGUUCUCUUUGUCUUCGAGCUUGAAUUCCUCAAUCCACUCUUUCGUUCUUUCAUAUACCUCCCCACCAAUAGAUAGAGACAAAUAGGAAUAACCGAACCACGUCUACAAAAUGCCAGUACCAUGCAGCUGCUUCAAAGCCAACGUGAUGCUCCUUGGUCAGAUGACCAAGAUAUUGGCGAAUACCACAUACGAUCAAGAAAAGAGUACCUAUAAUCACAUGAAAACCAUGAAAGCUAGUUGCUAAGAAAAAGGUAGAACCAUAAAUACUAUCAGAAAUAGUGAAGGGUGCUUGAUAAUAUUCCAUUCCUUGAAAGCUUGUGAAUACUAGAGCCAGUGAAACGGUAGCUACUAAAGCGUAAACAACUCGUUUUUCCUUCCCCGCGAGUAUAGCAUGAUGAGCCCAAGUUACGGCUGCUCCGGAUGAAAGGAGAAUAGGGGUAUUAAGAAAAGGGAUUUCCCGAGGAUCUAAAACCCCAAUCCCUUUUGGGGGCCAAAUACCUCCGAUCUCUACCGUAGGUGCCAAAGAAGAAUGAGAAGAAGCCCGAAAAAAAGCAAAAAGGAACAUAACCUCCGAUACGAUAAAGAGAAUAAAACCAUAUCGAAGUCCUAAUUGUACGACUUUGGUAUGAUGUCCUUCCAACGUGGAUUCACGUAGAACAUCGCGCCACCAUACGAACAUGGUAUAUAGGAGAAAUAUGAGGCCCAAACUGAGAAGUCUUGCACCCCCUUGAAAUGAGUGCAUGUACAUCACACCUCCUACGAUGGUUGCCAAAUGAUAAGAAUGCCUUUGAGAUUCAAUCACAAACCACUUUGCCUCGGUUGUAUGUAAACCCCCCCUUCACCCCCACCCGCUAAAGUGGUAAAGAAGGGCUCUUUGGGGUCUCAUUUUCUUUCUAUCUGACAGGACUAAAAAAUAGGAAGGGAUGGUUCUUUCAUUGCAUUGAUAGAAGUCUAACUAGAAAAAGAUCUUGUUGCUUUGAUCGAGCCCUAGGCUUUCCUUGGAUAGAUCCCUCUAUAUUCCAACUGAUUUAUGGCGUAGAAGGCGGGAAUAGGAAUCACUCAUAUUGCAUUGAGCCUUAACAGUCCGGAGGACUAUCCCGCUCCGUGGGAUUCUUUUAGCCUCACAAUAUUCUUUGCACCUAUCCAUCCACGCAAUAUUCUUUGCACCUUCGCUCCAAAUAAAGUAAUAGCCGCAACUCAAUUCAUUCAGCCUUCGCCUAGAAAUUCACUUUGCGACCCACUCCGUAAGCCCACUACACGAGAAGAAAGAAUAUCCUUAGCUAUUUAUCUUUAUUAUCUCUUCUCUGAGAAUAUCCUCUUAUUCUACUAUUAGAAGAAUAUCCUACUUUCAGUUUCUAGUCAAAGAAAGGUCCAGGCGCAGGCGCAAAGAAUAUUGCGAGGUGCAGUCUAAUGGAUAGGACUGAGGGCUCGACUGAAAGGAGAGAAGGCGCAAUGAAAUAUGCGAGGUCCAUAUUCCGACUGAGGAACUGAAACUUCCGCGUAGUGCUUCCCUUGUUCAUUGAUAGUAAUCCUGAAGUUUCUUCUUGGCAUCAAAAUAGAUCAAUGAAAGAGGACUAAAAAUAAGACGAAAGUACUUAUGACGGCUUUCCUUCCCAACAAAUCUUCGUUCUUAGUUAUUUGAUUCCACUUUCAAACUUUCUGGGAGUUGUCUUCUCCUAGGCUUUCUUCUUUCUGGCAGUCUUCUGCCUUGCCGUAGGGAGUAGGUUCAGGAGAACCAUAACCAUAAAUCAGAGAGACGGAGGCAUCAAUCACGCAAUAUUCUUUGCACCUCUUCCUUUAAGCUAUAUUUUUUAGGCUCCGGAGGCUCAAAGACAGGGAUAUUGUUGAAUACUAUUAGUUCGAGUCGCAGAGAGCAAAGAAUUUUCUCUUAAUGGAACUUAGCGCGGGUUAAUAUGGAUAGGACUGAGGUCUUAAGACUCCUAACUAUUAAUGGAAAGGACCCACGGAGCGGUGCAAAGAAUAUAUAGAAGGGCAGACAGGUCCGGAGGACCUGUCUGUCCUUCGGUCUUAAUACUCCUAACGUCGAAUAAGAAGCUGGAGGCUGGGUCCAGGUGCAAAGAAUAUUGUGUCCAUUAGAUCCAUUGAAUUAGGCGAAGGAUUUUAUCAAGCUUAGCUUUCUGGAUUCUUCGGCGGAGUGGGGCUUUCUCUAGUAGGUCUGGAGGCUCAAAGAAUGAUCAAAGGCUCCGAACCAUAAAGAAGAGAGUCGGAGGACAUCCAUUGACUUUUUCUUCCUUUCACUUCUAACUUCAAACCUUUCAUAUUCAACCUUGAAAAUAAAGGAGGGAGCGGACUACGGAGGCCAUAAGUUUGAGUUCCUCAGAUGUAUAAAAACAAGUCCUCCGGACGACCUAUCCACUGAAAGUAGCUACGUAGUCUUGUCUCCUUCCCCGCGUAGUGGGCAUUGACUUCUUCAUUGAUUUUCUUCUAUCUCCCACGUAGCGGUUGAAUAUGAAAGGAAGCCCACAGAGCUGAAGAUGGAGCGGGAUAAUAAAGAAGAAAGCUCAAAAGGAGGGAGCGGACCUCAAUGAACAAGGGGAGGACUCGUUUUCAUCCUUAUGGAAGAAAAAUCUCUUUUUUUUAUCUAAAAGACGUAGAAGGAGGCUCAAUGUCUAAUCUUUCUCUCAAAUCAAUAUCCCCAGUGCAAAUAUUCCAGCAAUAUUCUCAAUAUGAAAAGAGCCUUUCUUCUUUUCUUAGAUAAAUGCGCUUCGUAGAUUAUGCUGAAGGAGGAGUGGGCCAUGAUCUUUGCUCCUUAAUUUCCCUAAUGGAUAGUCAUCUGGACCUUUCUUUUUAGUUCUUUGCGCUCGUCAACGCAUAUUUCAUUGCGCCUUCGCCUUCAAUGAAAUCCAUAAAUAAAUAAGGGUAGAUUUCAGACUCAAGAGGAGGGUUCCUUAUCAAUAUCAAUGAGACGGAUAGGCUUUCUUUUACAUUCCACAGGUCCGAAGGACUAUCCAUAUUAACAUGUCUGUCCUUCGCCUAACUAGUUCAUAUAGACCUUUGUUUUUCUUCCGCAGUCACUAAUAUGGAUAGUCCGGAGGACCUCCUUCAGCAUAAUCUAUGAAUGAUCGGAGCAAAGAAUAUUGCGGAAAAGAAGAAAGGAGUGCAAGCGAAAAAUAAUGGAUUGAAUAGUCCUUCGGACGAACUACCGCACUUGGGGGAUAUUGUUGAGAAAGAAUAUUGAAAAAGAAUGAUCGAAGAAUAUUGAAAAAGGACGGAGGAUAGGCUUUCUUUGAACAAUGUGGAUGUAUCAAAGAUUCCACAGGUUAAUAUGGUAGAUUUCAGACUAGUCCUUCACCUUGGAUCUGGGGACUAUUCUCUGUUCUAAUAGACAUAGAGGAGAGGUUCAAAGAAUAUUGAGAAUACUCGUGCAAGCGCAAUCAAUGAACAAGGUGAAAAGAAUAAAAAAAAGGCGGUCGAUGAUCAGGAAGAAAAAGUCAAAAGUCUAUCCCAUCUUCUUCGUUAGGCGCAAAGAAGAAAAACAAGGUGCAAAGAUCUAUGGCCCAAUUAUAAGGGGUCCAGAUGCACCAUAAGACUGGUCCGAAGGACUAUCCAUAUUAACCGGAGUCUUCAACAAGAUUUCCAACCCUGAAUAUUAAGCUACUGAGGCCCAAUAUUGCGAAGGAAGAACUGCGCCAUAAGACAGGUCCGAAGGACUAUCCAUUAGGGAAUGAGACGGAGGUAACGUUUGGUUUUUUGGAAAACUUGUUGGUCGCGGAUUAGUGCGUUUUUUUUGGAAAGUAACAAUUCUCUUCAGUUUGGUUUCAGAAAACUUGUUGGUCACGGAUUAGUGCGUUCUGCGCCGCCUGGUGUCACGAACAUAUUUUUCCAAAGUGUGUUUACCUUUGGUUAUAUGCUCCGAUUACCCCCAGUUUAUCUCAUCUUUAGUUUGCAUAACUAGUUUAGCUGAUUGCUUUUCAUUCUAGGUCAUAAAGCUUGGGUGUGACGUUUCGGCAUUUUCAUAUGCAAGCCUGCCAGAGAGGAAAAUGUUCAAAAUGUACUAUAGGGGAGGCAUACCAGUUGAAUCCCCGCCCAAGCAUUAGUUGUACUCUUUGCAAGCAACCCUUUUUCCUUGCAAUUGACAGUCUUUAAUGCUUAUUGUAACGUCUAUUUCAAUGUAUUUCUUUCUUUCCCGUGUUUUAUAAAUAAAAUGUCCCUAAAACGCAAACGAAGGUUACGACAUACAUCGACGUUACCCACAACUCUUGGAUAUUGAUCGACUGACUUGUUCAUCGAGUUAGAACAAGUGCCGCACAAUCGUCCGUCUCGAGGUUGAAACGCUACGAUUGUGACAAGUGGUAUCAGAGCCAAAGUUGGCUGAGUGACAGUUUUGACAAAAAUAAAAUGUCGACUGCAAAACGAGCGAGCAAGACCCAUGAAGAACGGUUGGUGGGGAUCGAAGUGCAGAUGCUCCACCUGAUGGAAGUUCCUGAUUCCAUCCGGUUCUUGGAAUAGCGGCUUGAGGAUAUUGCCAAGAAAGCUGAUGGCAUUGAAGCCGUGUCCGGUCGCCUUGACGGACUACCCAUCCAAGAGUUACUGACUAGAGUCGACACUCUAGAGUCCCGAGUUAUGAGAACGGGAAAUGUCACCUACGAGCGUGGGGACAGUUCAUCGGGCUCUGUUGCCCAGAUGGAAGAACGAGUUAUGGAGCUUGAUAACUCGCAAAAGAACAUGUUGGAGAUGAUCAGCGCAUGACAAAGGAUUUUCGAGCAACCCUCGAUGUCGUGAGGAAUGAGCUCGCAGAGGUAAGCACGAGGGUGAACCUUACUAUGCGAGCACUAGAAAAUCAGGCUCUAGCUGGAGGAGCCAUUCCUGUGGGCAGAAUCAAGAUUCCUGAGCCCAAGCCCUUCUGUGGGGCGAGAGAUGCCAAGGCGUUGGAAAACUUCAUCUUUGAUGUCGAGCAGUAUUUCAAAGCCACGAACACAAUUACUGAAGAGGCCAAGGUGACGUUGGCAACCAUGCAUCUGUCAGAAGAUGCGAAGUUAUGGUGGAGGUCCCGAUACAUGGACAUUCAAGAAGGGCAUUGCACAAUCGACACGUGGGAUGCCCUAAAAGGAGAACUCCGUUCGCAAUUUUCCCUGAGAAUGUCGAAAUUCUGGUCCGACGGAAGCUGCGUGAAUUGAAGCACACGGGGAACAUUCGGGACUACGUGAAACAGAUUGCGGGGGUAAUGUUGGAUAUACGCGACAUGAUCGAAAAAGAUAAAAUAUUCAGCUUUGUUGAAGGGUUGAAGCCAUGGGCAAGGACUAAGCUAUACGAGCAGAAAGUCCAAGACCUCGUGUCAGCCUAUGCAACAGCUGAACGUUUGUUUGAUCUGUCUAAUGACGUUCAAGAGACAAGACAUCAUUGAAGCUCUUCACCUGGAAGAGACAGAAACAGCCGACUGAAUUCUCCCGAAGCUGUCAGUAGAAAUAAAAGUCCCGGCAGAGACCGCAAGCCCUUCCAGUCAAAUACGGGGAACACCAGGCAAAGGCCCACUAGUCAAAGGACCUCCCACACUCCUAUCAGUUGCUACAUUUGUAACAGGCCACAUCGGACAAGGGAAUGUCCGGAUAAAGCGGCCUUCUACGCCUUCCAGGCCUCUCUGGCUACAGACUUAGGUGACAAGUUGGGUCAACCAGAGAAUGAAGGUGGGUAGGUGGAGGAAGUCCAAAACGUUAGAGUAGGGGCCAUAAGACUCUUGUCGUUCCUUCAGAAUAAAGCAGGGGAGACAAGUGGUCGUACAAAAGGGGGCCUAAUAUAUGUGGACACCUGGAUCAACCGAAGGCAUGCAAAGAGCACUAUGGUUGACUUCAGUGCAACCCAUAAUUUUAUAACGGUGGCGGAAGCCAGACGAUUGAACCUUCACUAGAAGAAGGAUACAGGAAAGAUGAAGGCCGUAAAUUCUACAGCUUUACCCGUCGUCGGAGUAGUGAAACGAGCGGUGAUACAGUUGGAAAGAUGGAACGGCCUUGUUGACUUUGUGGUUGUGGGCAUGGAUGACUUUGAUGUAGUUCUCGGAAUGGAAUUCCUUCUUGAACAUCAAGUGAUCAUGAUGCCUGCAGCCAAAUGUCGGUGAUCACGGGAUCUACCCCCACCGUUAUGCAGAUACCCCCACCAUUAUGCAGAUAGAACUCCGGCAACCCAAAGGAUUGAGAAUGGUCUCGGCCAUGCAACUGAGGGAGGGCCAUAUUCAGGAAGACACAAGGCGUGUCGUGGAGAGACGUUGUGAUGGGAAACAGGAUAGUUUGCCCAUGUCAGAAUCGCCUACGAGAAAUGAUCAUCGUAUGGCGCAAUCAAAAUCAUCUGGACUCAGGAGACAGUCAAGGAGACUGUCAGGUGCAGGAUCCACUAGACCUGCGAGAGAUCCGUAUCAAGCACAAGACUUCUUACGGAAGGAAGAGAAUGGACAAUUGUGUGUCAACAACCGUGUCCUAAAGCAAGCCCCGAGGAGAGGGCCAACUUUUGAGUCCGUGAGUGGGACUCAGCCUGUUGAAGCUUACGCUAAGGCAUAUGGUCCUGUGUCAGGUGGCAUCCUAAUGCAGAAUGGACACCCUGUCAAAGCUGAGAGUCAGAAACAAAGUGCCGCAGAAGGUAGUUAUACGAUGUUUGGAAAAGGAAUGCUGACCACGAUACGUAGUCUGAAGGAUGGAAGACAACAUUCCCAGGGGUCUACACAUGGAAGAGAGACGAACAACAUUGCGACCAACCGCUUUGAUACUCGGCCGAAGUGGGCUUUGAGUCAAGAAAAGUGGCAGAGGGACGUGUCAAGGGAAUCCUUGCAGAAAAACUCUGUCAUUGAAGUUGAUGUAAGUCUGGCGGAGACCAGUCAGGUGGAAGAAAAGAAUGGAGUUCAAUUGUGGAAGCUAACCCAAUCUUAUGUUAAUGCUGCAAUGAGUUCGUCAAUGGAUGGAAACCAGUUUGUGGGUGUUUGUGGCGGACAUUCUGUACAGUCCCGCCUUGUUGGUCCCUCCUAUGUUGGUAAGAAUCCUCAAGCUUGCAACAGUACCAAGAGGUGGAAGCUGGAGUCAGACAUCGUUCGGACCGAUCGAGAGGAAGCCUCGAAGUGGCCAGAAAAGUGGGCAGAUAAGAAGCAUCGCCUCCGUGAUUCCCGUGGGGAGACCAGGUCAUCGUCAAACGGCGAUCUGAACUGACUCCGUUUUUGAAGAAGACUUCAAGAUCACCGCCUCAUGAGAGAACGCGAGGGACAAACAGAAGUUCAAGAAGUCCUUGCUAAAGAAGCAAGGAAAGAAGAAGAAGACCCAUGGGGGAUACACAAGUUCGUGGUGAAGCAGAGGAGCCUCCUCAUGGAAGAAGCCUGUGGAAGACGUACCAAGACUGUGAAGCGUGGAGGUAGAAGAUCGAAGGAUUCCAGCUUUGCCAGUCGACGGGGACGUCAACUGUUUAAGUGGGGAGUGUGUCACGGACAUAUUUUUCCAAAGUGUGUUUACCUUUGGUUAUAUGCUCCGAUUACCCCUAGUUUAUCUCAUCUUUAGUUUGCAUAACUAGUUUAGCUGUUUGCUUUUCAUUCUAGGUCAUAAAGCCUUGGUGUGCGUUUCGACAUUUUCAUAUGCAAGCCUGCCAUAGAGGAAAAUGUUCAAAAUGUACUAUAGGGGAGGCAUACCAGUUGAAUCCCCGCCCAAGCAUUAGUUAUACUCUUUGCAAGCAACCCUUUUUCCUUGCAAUUGACAGUCUUUAAUGCUUAUUUUAACGUCUAUUUCAAUGUAUUUCUUUCUUUCCCGCGUUUUAUAAACAAAAUUUCCCUAAAACGCAAACGAAGGUUACGACAUACAUCGACGUUACCCACAACUCUUGGAUAUUGAUCGGCUUACUUGUUCAUCGGUUAGAACAAGUGUCGCACAAUCGUCCGUCUCGAGGUUGAAACGCUACGAUUGUGACACCGACGGCCACAUAGAAUUGAGAAAAGCCUAUGGUUGAGGCAGCAUUAAUUUAUGAAACUUUACACGUGGGAAGGGAUGACUCUUUCUAUUCAAACCUGUAAACAUAGAAGACCGCCUCAAUGAACAAGGGAUCAUUCACAUAGAAUAAAUAUGAACAACGAGAAAGGGAAUAUAAGGUUUGAAUUCAGAGGAAAGCCUAGCUUGAAUGAACAAGGUGAAAAGAAUAUUGACAGCUGCACUUACGAGUCUUUCAGUUACCUUUCUGCCUCUUUAAAGAGAGUUCAAGGUUUUCUAUUAUCGGAAGAAUCAGAAUAAGAAGAAAAUAGAGGAAGACAGAGAGAAGAGAGCUCAGGAGGCGCAAUGAAAUAUGCGUGAGAAGCGCAUUUCCUUAGUGGAAUACUUUGAUAGCGGAAUAAGAAGUCGGAGGCUCGGUCAAGACGAUCUUUUGAUCUAUUCUAAUGGUCUCUAAUGGAUAGUCCUUCGUUUUAGAGUCCUACAGAUAAAUCCUCCGGACUGGUCCGAAGGCUAGGUUCAUACGGAUAGUCAGGAGGACGGUUAGUUGGAGCCUUGUUUUUCGAAAUCUUCUUUGAGCCUCAGUCGUCUCAUUGAUAAGGACAUCUUUGCAAAUGAAGAGCGGGAGGUGCAAAGUGCGGCUAUUACUUUGAAAAGAAUAGGAGCUCCGCGGUUUGAAUUGAAUAAAAAGGAUAGGCUGAAAUUCAAAGUGAAUAAGAGGAUAUUUUCAGAUAUAAUAUCUAAAGUCAAUGAACAGGGGCUCCUAACCUCUGAUUUAUGGGGAGCCUACUACGUCCAUUAGUUCCGAACUUGGCUCCACUCCUAGUAGUUCGAACUUGGCUUUGCUCCUUCGCUUUUUCUCUUAUUGAUCUCUCUUGUAAUGCUUUCUACUAAGAAUCAAGAAAGCGCAACUUCUAUUUUGUCCGAACGACCUUGAUUAAAAAACGAUGCUUCCUUGGUCGUGUAGAACAUGGAUUAGCAUUAUUUCAUUCCUACAAGCGAUCCCCCAUCCAGGAUUGGAAGAAGUGCUAUAUGAGGACUUUGAGAUCAAAUAGAAUAUAUUUCUUUCAAGACCUCGUGAGCCACUUAUUUCUCUGAAACAAGAGAGAAAAGUGAUUUUCCUCCUUUUUCUCAAUAAGUCGACGACCUUACACCAUUGGGAUACUUCUUCUUUGAAACUAGAGUACAUAUAGGAUACACCGGUGCUAAAACCUUUUCUCAAAAGAUCUUCCAAACUGUUGGGGUCCUUGCUCCGUAUGUUCUUCCCCCGGUGUGAAAGCAGUUGGUUCCAUAGUUUGAGAAUUCUACUACUGAUCCCAAGUACUCCAUCUCCAUCAUUGCAUAUGGGAAUAUAGAAAAGUCAAGAAGAAAAGGCAUGAGCAGAAGAAUUGUGUGAAAUAAGUCAAUUUAUCCAAUUGAGGCAUUCUUUCUUUUUCUUAAGAAAAUUCCCUCUAGACAUAAAUCCUUUCUGUACGAGUAGUGAAGAACUAUAGAGAGUAGUGGUUGGUUGUUGACCAACAAAAAGCAUGGGAGAAAGAAAGAUGUUGGCAAGGAAGCAUCAAAAUAGAUCAAUGAAAGAGGCUCAAAGAAUGAUCGAGGACUAUUUUAGUCCGACUAGAAACUAGGGAAACUAAAGACUAACGAAAUCUAGAUGAGAAUCCGUACAAUUAGUCUCGAGAAAAAGAAGAAAGCAAUAAAAAAAGUGAAGACAGAAAAUGAACCGAAAAUCUUCUUCUCUCAUAUUGAAUUCAUCCUUCUACGCAUCUCCAUGGGCUCGACUGAGAGUGGAGGAGAGGACGGGAAGAAUGAGAAAAAUAGUAAGGCGAGAAGACAGGUUCGAAGGACUAUCCAUCAGGGAGUUUGGACCCCGUAGUUAGGAGCAAAGAAUAUUGCGAAAGAGUCAUAAUAGGUACAAAUCUUCUUAUAGAUUAUGUUGAAGGAGGCGGCGCAAUUCAAUAUGCGAAAGUCAUGAUCCCUUUAAAGCAGACGUUAGGCGCAAAGAAAGAAGCUCAUUAACGAGAAUGAAAGAAUAAUUCACUCAUUAACGAGAAUGAAAGAAUAAUUCUGAUUUCAUCACCUUGUUUUUACGGAGUUCAAUACUAGAUUGAAGACGGAGGGAAAUCCCAGAUUUUGCUAGGUUUUGGGCCUAUAAAGUAGCAAGAAAUCAUGAAAAAUCAGUCAAAAUUAGACAAUUAUCGUAGCAUAUCAAUAUGAGAAAAAGUAUGAAAAAGAAGCAAAAAAGUCGGGAAAUAGCAAUUCAAGAAGAAAGCCUAGGACAGGGAAAAGAAAUGAACACUUCUAGUUUGAGUUUAUGGUCCGGAUACUGACAGGUCUAUUCUUUAUUCCGCUCCUGAAUAUGGAUAAUCCUACUUCGGUUAAUUACGGAUAGUCCUCCUUCGGUUAAUUACGGAUGGUCCUACGGAUAAAUCCUCCAGACUACUUCCUUCCAUAUGGAUGGUCCUACUUCGGUUAAUUACGGAUGGUCCUACUUCCAUAUGGAUAGUCCUACGGAUAAGAAUCCUGCGGACUCCGGACUACUUUGGUUAAUUACGGAUGGUCCUACGGAUAAAUCCUCCGGACUCCGGAUAAAUCCUGCGGACUCCGGACGUACGACGUAGGAUAAAUCACCUGGACCUUUCUUUGGCACUACGGACUACUUCGGUUAAUUACGGAUGGUCCUACGAAUAAAUCCUCCAGACUCCGGGUCGUAAGACGUAGGAGAAAUUCCUGCGGACUCCUUCCUUCCAUAUGGAUGGUCCUACGGAUAAAUCCUCCAGACUACUUCAAUUAAUUACGGAUGGUCCUACUUCCAUAUGGAUAGUCCUACUUCAAAUGGAUAGUCCUCCGGAUAAAUCCUGCGGACGUAGGACCCUGGACCUUUCUUUCUUUAAUGGAUAGUCCUCCGGAUAAAUCCUGCGGACGUAGGACCCUGGACCUUUCUUUGGCACUCCGGACGGAUAAAGAAAGGAUAAAUAAAGGCGCAAAGAAUAUUGCGAAGCGAAGCGCAUUUAUCUAAGAAAAGAAGAAAGGAUAAAUAAAGGCGCAAAGAAUAUUGCGAGAGCGGGAAUUACCUUUUCUCUUCGGGUUAGCUAAGAGUUGCCGGAGGCUUGAAGUCGGAUAAUUACUUUUACUUAAAGGUUUCACAAACCUGCAAAAUCUUCUCCAAAUUAGCGUUAGCGUUCUGAGCUAGCCAAGCAGUAUAUUUAAAAUAUAGAAAGAAGAAAAAUCCAUGCAAUCUAAGUACACUAAGAACCUACAGCAUCGUCACCGCUGCGUGGGAAGGUUAAUUCUUCUAACUCUGGUAUUAUCGUUGAACAAGCAGUUCACAUCCGACUGCCCGCGUAGUGGGGGAAGCUCGCUCGCUAACUUUGCACUUCGGCCAAAAUGCCGAAAAAAGGCUAAGGCCGAAGGAGGUCUGACUCCUUCGCUCAAGGAAGAAUUGCCCGAUUGGAUAUAUAUCUUGGUGCGGAGAGAGGAAAGGAUCACGGAAGCCUCAGUCUCAGUACGAAAGGGGCAAAAAGCUGGAAAAAGCAUACUGGCUUCACCUUGCCCUAGGAUGGGGUCCGCCGGAUCUUUUAAGGCAUAGGCUUAAUGCUGAGACGCACGGGGAUAUCCGGUCCAGGAUGGAUAUUCAAGACAAGGACGAAGGCUCUCCGUCACGCAAGAUGAUUACAAGUCUUAGGAGUGAACUUCCGCUUUACCCCUUCCGGUAUCAGGAAGCGAAGGGCAGAGAAAGCGAGCGAGAAAACAUAAAUCAAGGCGGUCGAUGACUUAAAAUAGGCAAAAAGAAAAGACAGAAAGCCUACGGGUUUCUCGGUUUACCCUUCUUUUAGGAUAGAAAAAGGCACUGCCUGUGUGACCACUACAAGCGGACGUGACGAGCGACGCAGGGCCACCCACGACCGCUAGCAAUACGAGGUAAAGCGGCCAGAAAGCAUACCAUAGGAUGCGUCCUGAGGGCAUUCACAUAAACAUUCUUCGAAUUGUUCACAUUCGGCGGGAUGUUCUUAGCCUUGUCUCCAGGUGAAUAAUUGAAUCGGCACCGGCGAUCGGACCUAUUGCAGCCUUCGGUUGACUGGUGGCAUUCGAUGGUAUGCUUGAGGCCUUCCCAACCCGCUCCGUGUAAAAGAGGUAGAAGGAGGCUCAAAGAAUUAUCGAAGAGCAAGACGAAAGAAAAUAGCGACUUCCAGUCGGUGAUGGGAAAUCUCAAUGUUAUCGCAGAUUCAAAGGCGCAAAGAAUAUUGCAUUGAGGCUCGACUGAAAGGAGAGGCGAAUUUGAGAAGAAAGAACUAUAUCGGCUAAAUACUCAACUGCCUCAGACGUCACUGGGACAAGAGCCGGAGAUUCCGAAACCUCUCGCAGCUUCUUUGCUUCCUCUGGUCUCGAUAUUUGAACCGCCUCAAUAAACAAUAAAUAAGGGUCCAAAAAAUCAAGGUCAUCUUCAAACCCUUUUUUUUAUGCGCCUCAGUCCUAUCCAUUAGAACGUCGGCCCUCACCCUUUUUCUUCUUAGUGCGCGCUUGAGCUUUAGUCUUCUGAGUUCUCAAAUUCUUUGACCCUCUGUCUCAGUAUUCGGCAGAGAUGCUGAUGUUAACAAGAAAUGCAGGCUGAAUGUUGUAUGGAAGGAUGAUCAUUUCGGCUUCUUGUAGCCAUUGAUGCUGUCUAAUGCUUGGAGAGACAUUGUUUAAUGUGACUUUGGACAAGGUUACUGAAGAUAGAACUAUCUGGCCUCAGAGGUCAGUUUUCAGUUGCUAAGACAGUGAAGCUCUUUCAUCUUCCUGGUAAUACUGUCCCUUGGUUCAAGCUUCUUUGGGGUAAGAAGCACAUCCCUAGUCAUGCUUUUCUUUCCUGGAUGGCUAUGAAUAAGAGUCUGAGAGUCAAAGCUAAACUGUACAAUCUUUAAGUGCUUUCGUCUGAUUUUGAGGUUUGGAAGCAAAGAAGCAGAGCGGAGUUUGAUUCCUUAUAUCAGAAAAAGAUAUAGGAAGACUCCCAGAAAGAAGAAAGCCUAGGAGAAAGCAAAGAAAGAGUAAGGAUCAGAAAGCUCCUAACCCCUAUUUAUUUAUGGAUGUGAAUUGAGCGAAGGCGCAAAGAAUAUUGCGAAGGUUCAAAGAAUAUUGACUUGAUAAACCUCUAUUUAGCUUCUUAUAUCUGAAGACGAUAAAGUCAGAUAAUCAGCCUCCGGCUGGGUCGGAUCGUCCAUACCUAGUUGAGUAUCUUGUCCGUCAUAACGAAGUCACUCUUUGAAAAAGGGUCGGGCUUUGUUGGAGUUGACUCGGUGAGUACACUUUCAUCUUUACGAGAAGAAGCGCGAACAACAACUAUAUUAUUCAGCAGAGACCUGAUUUACCCGAUGAGUGGAACGGCUCGACAAAAGUCUUAGGACUCGGGACGACGCGCCUCCUUCCUGCUAGAACUCAUAGGUCUACGGGGUUCUUUCGGUAGCGAGAAUAGUGGUCCCAAACGGAAUAGAAGUACUUUUGAUUCACUGAAUCGGAAUCUUUGAAAGAAGAAAGGGGGACGGAGGAUCAAUGAAAUUUGAUGAUGAUGAGUAAGCUCUUGCUUUUCUUGCUCCUCUUUCUGAAGUUGCGAGAGGUUCAAAGAUCCUUAUCAAUGAUUGGAGUGGCUGUUCCGGUUGCAGACGUUGCUGUUGGAGUAGAAGCUGUAGCCCUUUCGGUGAGGUGCGAAUGCUCGACCUCGACCCAUUGGCAUUAGUUGAGGAUGCACCAUCCCUGAUUAUUUUUUAGGAGAAAGCCUCUUUCGUCGGGUUCAAGGGAAAAGACUAAGAAUGAGGUCCCCUCCCCCCAGUUGAGGAACGAGGGCAAAAGCGAAGCCUAUGAAGUGAGUAUGAGCUCGCUCGACCCCCACGUAGCGGGAAUAGCACCAUCUUCUCUCUUUCAUGAGUAGUUCACUGCACUCAUUAGUAGCUGGACCAAGAGGUUAUUCUCUCUAUGAUCUCCUGGACUGGAAUAGCGCUCUCCCCAUAGCAAGAGGGAGCUCGACGUAGUCGGUCUUUCGGCAGUCACAAUAAUUAAGAGAAGCAGCUGCUCGGGAGAGGGAGGUAUCAGAUGCACGAAGAGAGGAUUGGUCGAAUCGACUGUAAGAAGAGGCAUCUGUUCUUGUGGCUGUAGCAGUUGCAGAAGUUGAAUCGUCUGUGGCUGUUCUUGUUUAAGAAAUAGCUGCAGCUAUUCCCACCAAGGCCUGACGAUAGGCUGAUUUCAGGAUUUCCUAUCCAUCCUCAAAUUCUUUGAGCCUUUGUUACAAGAAAAUACUCUUUAGUGACUCAAGAAUGACCCUGUCUUAUGGCACCUCUCAUCUGGAGCCUUUGUUUUUGAAACAAGUCAAAUUCUCUAAUGGAUAGGCCUGAAUUCAUGAAUAUUGAAUUGAACCUACUAAAAUCAAAGGAAUAAAGAAAGAGCUCAAAAGGAGUCAAAAUGAGAAGUCCGAAACCUCAUCACCUACUCCCGGAGGCAAGGUGAAAUUCAAUAUGACGAAGUCUUAUAGUUGGGUCUCAUCCCCCCAUAAUCAAGUAGCGUCCACUAAAAAGAAGCGGAGCGCGGAAGGACGAGGCGCAAUGAAAUAUGCCUUGAAUGAAUCUACCCUUUUUAGACUCGACUACUCCGCUACGUGGGCUUACUAGUAAUGCUGAAGUUUCCUCCUUUUCUAGCUUUCUUUCUAAUGCCCUUCUUUAUGGUCAAUGGUCACUUCCCCGAGGCGCGGAUCCCACUACACGGGAAUAUAUUAUGAUAUAAUGAACUAUCUUCUUUCUAAUAGCUAGUUUCAACAGCCACCGGGGAGGAGACAAGAACUCAAUCUACUGAAACAAGGGUUUCAACCACAGCGAGAGCAGACCUCAAAAAAAUAAGGAAGAAAAAGAUAAAGGCGCGAAGCGAAGCCUAUGAAGUCAUAAGGGCAAGGGCUUUCCGUGAACUUUCUUAUGAUGGGAAAUCCUUGUUUUCAUUUGCGAGACACAUUUCAUUCGUAGAAAUACCACUUCCUACUUCCUCAUCCCGACAAUAAAUAAAGCACUACGCGGGACAAAGUAGAUUCCCAAACUUAAAAGGAAAGACUAAAAUCAAAGCUCCAGAUGAGUUGAAUUGAGGUGCAAUGAAAUAUGCCUUUCUGCAGUGUGCGAAUUCGCUCUUUCGGCUGAUAACCUUUCGAUCCAGAAAGCACUACGCGGAAGUUCCCCACUACGCGGCGUGAAGUGACUGCCCACUUUUUGAAAAGAAAUAAAGAGCGCAGAACAAGGUUCAGUUAAGCUUGAUAAAUCAGUCCUUCGCCUAAGAAUAAGGUGAAAAGAAUAUUGAACUCAUGAAAUCAAUAUCCCUGUCUUAUGGGGCCUUUGUAGCUUAAUAAUGGGGAUCUGGUUCAAUUAUAAGGCUCAAAGAAGAUUGAGAAAGAAUAUUGCAAAAUCAAGGCGGCAAAGAAAAGGUGAAUAGGGAUUCGUACGAUUAGACUUGACUGAGAAUGGAAUUGCUUUAGCUAUCUUUUUUUUUCCGUCUUUCAAGGUGGAAGCUAAAUCAGAAUAGUUUCUAGUUGAAGGCAAGCAAGCUAGGGUUGGUUCGUAUUGACAAAGAGCUGGACUUCUAAACUUUCAAUGGGUACUGGAGUACUUUCUUUGUCAAUCGAUGCUUAAUACUAUCUUUACGCAAAUAAAGGCCGAAGAAUGAGGCUAAGUCUUCUAUUUAGUGGUCUCGCAAUAUUCUUUGCACCUUGCUGAUCUCAUUUCAAAAAUGCUUCGCCUGCCUCUUCUUUGAUUCCGUGCACGAGUAAGUACCCGUAAAUCGUAAAGAAAGAGGGGGGUAGUUACCUGCUCUUUCAUCGAGAUUGGCGAAUUACGGUAGAAGAUAGAAGAGGUUCGAGGAUCAAAGUAUUUGAGCUUUGCUAUUACUUUCAUGCUCCUCUUAGAAGGAAGAUAAGCACGAUAAGCUGGCCUAUAUCAUUGCUUAAUUCAUGCUUUCUUCGUACUUCCGGAAAGAAAUCUCACUCAUUUCAUUCUAUCACAUAAUGAGAACUCUAGAAAAGAAAUUGCUUACUUCAUGCUUUCUUCGUAUUUAUUUAAGGACCCAAUCCAUCUUUUGUCUAUGACGAUCGGUACGAAAGGAAGGCAUGCUCGCAGGGGAUUCUUAUUACUAAUAGAUGAUAAGAUAAUACGAGAAUGAAAGAGGUCGAGCGCCUCACCUCUGAGUCUGAUUGUUGGAAGUAUGAUGACUCCCACUGGUCGUCUUUCAACUCAUUAAAUCCCCCUAUCUUUUAUGGCGGUCUUACCGGAAUAUCUACUUUAUAGAAUUCCUAUGAGACUAAGAAAACAAACUGAGACCUCGUAGUCUUCCUGUUCCCGGUCGAUCCUAUGAUCGAUCUCAUACAAAGAUCUUCUAUGAUUCGACUAAAAAGACUCUUUCUUCUUAGUUUGAGCUUGAGGCGCGUCCAACCCACUACGCGGUAAGCUUUUCCUCUUUUCCUCUCACUUCAAGACUCAAGACCUUACCCGCACCGAGUCAAUCCGAUCGCUACCUUUCCAGGUCGUAUUCUAGUAAUUAAUUUCAUUAAUAACUCAGAGCGGCGAUCUAAAUACUUCUUCAGCAAGAACUUUCGAAGAAGGUAGAGGAACUGAAAUGGAUUCAGCUUCCGCAGGCAGCAUCCCUUUCAACGACGACUCCCCGAGAGACUCGCUUCAAACUUCCGAUUUAGAAAGAAGGUAUCUCAGUCUCUUACCGCGUAGUGGGCUGAUCGUGAGAGAUGGAAUCUUCAACCUCUUAUGGAAAUGUGUCCAGCGGAAGUAUUUACGUAAGAAAUUGAGAACCAGGCGAGAGGAGAGGGGUGAGGAUCGAGCGCAUUCCCUAUCGAUCAGCAUCCUCAACUCUACUUCAAGAGUAGAAAGGUUUCGGAAUUCAGAGGCAAGAGCAUUCCUUCCUCUUUCUUUAGUCAAGUCAUUUCAUUCCUUUUCUCACUAGGUCUAUAGAAAUAGUUCAUGGCCAGGACUAGGUCUCGUCAUAUUCUUUUCUCAAGAGAUGAGAAGAAAGUUCUCCUAAUAGAAUAUGUUUGAAUAUCUCAACUAGAAAGUCUCGGACUAACUCUUCCCAUAGCGUAGCCUACGGAGCGGGGAAAAGGAAGAUUUUCAACAGUCAAGAGAUCAAUCAGAAGGGAGCGGGAAGAAUGGAUAUUGUCUUCGAUCUUGCGAUAAAAUGAGUCAGACCAUAUGCGAUCUCGUCUCAAACAGAGAAUUAGUAAUCUGAGUCGCACGGGGAAUAGGUUGGAUAGUCCGGAGGACGGGAAGACAGAAAGAAAAGAGAGGCUCCGGAGGUUCAAAGAAUAUUGACAAAGAAUAUUUCAUGAAUUGAGGUGCGGUAGUCCGUCCGAAGGACUAUGAAAUCCAUUAGUUUUCGUUUGCACUCCUUUCUUCUUUUCUUAGAUAUUCUGGGAUUGAACUCCGUCUGAAAUCUAGCAGAUUCAUUUUUAGCUUCUUUCAUUCUCGUUAAUGAGCACUUGAACCUGUCUUUCUCAGGCGCAAAAAAUAUUGCGAGAAGAGCAAAGAAGAGAAUGGCGAUCAGAAUUUGAGUCCUUUCAUACUUUCGUUGAGGAGGAGGAGUUUUCUUCUUGUAUCAUAAUAGGAUAUUUUAGUAGAAUAAGAAGAAGAAGAAGAUAAGACUACGUAGCGUAGUGGGCUUUUCUUAUGGCGGAGCGGAGGAUUCCGACUAUCCACUGAAGAAAGUAGGAAAGCCUAAGGAACCUAAAAAGGGCUAAUAGGGGAAGGAAGAAAGCCUAUCCCUCCAGAAUCUUUGAGGACCGAAGGACUUCUUUAUAUCCCUAUUUAUUUAUUUAUGGGACUCCCAGAAAGGUUUAGUUCCAUAAAUCAGUCGGCUAAUAUAUAGGAUGAAAGUAGAUAGAAAGGAAAAGAAAAAAGUCGUCACUCUUAAGGAGUGCAAGAAGGAAUCUUUGAACCUUUUAUCCUGAUCUCUCUCAUUCUACAACUCAGUCGAGCCACUAUUCAACCUUCUUUUCGAUGGGACAUCAUGUCCUCUUAUCUUAAUCCCAUAAAUCAUUUAAGGCGAUACGGAAACAAGAAAUCCAGAAACUUAAUCCGGUAGAGUCAAUUCGAGACUAAGACGAGUUGGGGUUUCGACCAUAGGCUUUCCUUCCAAACCUACUAUACUAAACCUACCCCCGGACUCAAGGCGCGAAGUGAAGCGGCUGCCCACUUUUUAGAAAUAAAGAGCUGAGAUAAUUCUUUUCACUCAUUGAGGUCGGCUAAAUUCAAUGGAUAAAGAAGUCCUUUGCUUCAUUCUAUAUGUCCUUAUCAAUGAGACCAUUAAUCAGUCCGAAGGACUAUCCAAAGAAAAGAAUAUCCCUGUCUUAUGGGGCCUCCGUAGCUUAAUAUGGAGCGCUCCGGACGAGUCUUAACUAAUAUUCCCAAUCAAAGAAUUAUCGAAAGAAUGAUCGACGAGUCUUAUUCCACUAAAAUAGUAGUCCUUCGGAGCAGUCUUAUACUAAUCUCCUAAAAUCAAAGCUCCAGAUGAGUUUCAUUCCACUAAAAGACGAAAGAAGGUAUCUCAGUUACCAAAGAGAAAGAGCUUCCACAAACCACUUCCACAUAAACUUCUGCUAAGUCUACUUCUGUUAUUGAUUCAACUUAGCCUUUAAUCAGAUUAGGACCUAGCUAGCCAACCUUAUUCCUUCCUCUUCCUUACUUUGUUCUCGCUUGCUUCGGCAGGCACACACUAUCUCUGGAUACUGGAUAAGAGAUCCUUUGGUCAAGCUGCAAGAGAAAGACUUCUUCUCCGAUCGAUCAGCUACCCGAUUCCUCCUUCCCCGAUGAUAAGGUUAGCAGGCCCGAUCCUCUCCUAUUGAAAAAGAAAGCAGAAAUCUUUCAGUCUAGAGGAUUUAUCCGUAGCCCGGAGGAUUUAUCCGUAGCCCGGAGGAUUUAUCCGUAGGACCAUCUGUAAUUAACGCGAAGUAGUCUGCAGUCCGGAGUCCGCAGGAUUUAUCCGGAGGACUAUCCAUAUGGAAGUAGGACCAUCCAUAUGGAAGGAAGUAGUCCGCGAGUCCGCAGUCCGCAGGAUUUAUCCGUAGGACUAUCCAUUUUCAGUCGGACUAUCCAUAUGGAAGGGAGCGAAAUCUAGCUAUGAGGACUCUUUGAGCUCUUCUUUGAGUCAGUGGCUCUGCCACUUGCAGAAGGAGCAGCGAAGUCCGCGGUUUCAGAGGUUUAUGUAGCAGUUCUUCUUUAAUAAGAUGCUUACUUUCUUUCGGGUAGAAAGGUUCACUCGUGAACGGUACACCUCUUAUAUGAUGCCUGGGGACUUUGUCCCUUCUUCUACGGAUUUCUCUUAUAUGAUCUUAUUCAUCUCCGUAUCGUUCAUAUAUUCAUUCUAUAAAAUCCCUAGCUGCCACAGAUGGUCGAACUUGCCUCUUAAGUGGCGUGGGUCGAUCCUCUUGUUGACUUUUUACCUAGGAGUGGGGGGGAAGAAGUUCGAGAAUAAUUUAUCUUCUUUCCUUGUCCCAGUUCUUCUUUCCACUUCUACUUAAGUCACCACGACUGAUACAGAUGCAAGAACAUCAGGGCGAGCAGGGAAGAGGCGGAGGGAGUUUGCACUCUUUUCAUGCGGGUUUGAGUGAGACUGAUGCGCCCUAGGUCAAGCCAUUGCUUCGUCUUGUUCAUCACAUUCAUUAUGUUCACAAUUCCGGAAUCAAAGUAGAAAUACGAGAAAGCGCUCCAGCGGACUCUGAUUCAUUGGGAAUUCUAUCUUCCCGCCUCAAUGAACAAGGUGAAAAGAAUAUUAAAUGAAUCAUUGAGUUGAGGCGGUGGAACCUAGGAGUGGGACCGGGAACAUGAUAGGCUUGAAUCUAAGAAGUGAAUAUAGUAUUGAAAGAGGCCCACGGAGCGGUGUCCGACUAUCCUACUAUCGAAGCCUUGAAGCAUGAGUCUUGAGGUUUUCAAAGUCUACUCAGAGGACGAGGUUGAAGUUUCAUAGGGAAAGGUUUCAUAACAAGCAGUUGUUUUCCGUAUCGAAUGCUCUUUCAUUCCUUAUUCGAAAGAAGGCAAAGAAAGUGGAAACUAAAUCCUUGGAUUCUUUCCCGCUUGAACCAUGAAAGGUUAGGCCUUAGUUACGAUCUCAUUCAAUGCCCUAGCAUACUCAAAGGUUCGGGGGCGUAGUGGAUGGAGCUAGAAGACUACUACUUGGACGAGGGAUUUCCUUUCUCUUAUUGUAAUACUCCUAACCACCCCUUUUUGAAUGGGCAGGCCCCUCUGGUCGAGUUUACCCUUUUUAUUCAGGCCUAUCUGCCUCCGUUCAUGAAGGACAAAAUCGGACUGAGCCCUUGUUCAUUGAGGCGUAUAAGCCCACGUAGCGGUGCCAUAAGACAGGUCUGAAGGCGUCACAGGUCCGGAGGACCCGUCUGUCCGAAGGACGAGAUAUUUAUAAUGUUGAGAGAAAGAUUAGACUUUGUCAGGACCCUUAUUUCCAUUAUUUUUCACUUUCAAUAUUCUUGAGAAUAUUCAUUCAUCCGACAGAGCAAAGUUCAUCCAGAUCCCCAUAUGAAUUAGGCGAAUGACUGAUUUUCAAAGUCAGAGUUAUCCCUCAAAUUCUUUGAGCCUUUGCACUCAAAUUCUCUAAUGGAUAGUCCUUCAGACCGCUAGGAGUAAAGAAUAUUGUGUGGAACUGAACUAAUAGGGAAAAGCAUUUCCUAUUGAUUUGUCCCCUGGACUGGACCUAUUCUGAUUCUGAAUUAUCCGUCGCUACGUUGUUCCCAAGGACUAGCAAAAUCGAAAUAGCGAAAUUCUUGGGUCAUCUCAAUGGGUUCAGAAACCACACGUUUCUCUGGAUCAUCACAGCGUACUUCCACAUAUCCACUCAGAGGAAGGUCUUUUUGUAAUGGAUGACCCUCGAAACCAUAAUAUGUUGAUAUACGGCGUAGAUCCGGAUGAUUGAUGGAAGAAACACCAAACAUAUCCCAAACUUCUCGCUCCCACCGGCCGGCUGAUGGAAAUAGACUGACUACCGGAGAGAUUCGUGUUACUUCGUCUGCACUGGUUUGUACACGAAUGCGUGAGUUAUACCGAGUACUCAGUAAAUUAUAGGCCACUUCAAAUCUGAGUUUUCUAUAUAUAUUUAUAUUGAUGUUAAUAUGUUACCUUGUAAUUGGAAUGGUGAUUUGAAUAAUCUAAUAGGAUUAUGUGUUUGGAUCAAAAUAUGUUGCAAGAGAAAUAGCUAAAUGUGUGGAUUUAGUGACAAAGAGGGUAUUCAUGUGUUUAUUUUAGUUUUCUCAGUGAGGACUCGAUUUUUAGAAGAAACGACCACUGUUCGAAUCAUUCAAAACUUUGUUCCGAACAAAAAUUUUGGACUUUGUCAUUGUCCUCUUCACCGAAUGUGACAAACUUGAAGACAACGAUGAAACAUUGAAAGAUUACUUGGAUCGAAAAUGUCUUGUGGGGUUGAAAGAUACCAUAGCCGCUAGCAAGAACUGUUGCUUGGUUUUCAAUAACAAAACCGAUAAUGAAACAAAGAAGAUUGAAUAAGUGGAUAAACUUAUAAAGAUGGUGCAUGAAGUUGUACAACAAAAUGAAGGAAAAGCAUACACUCAUGGCUUGUUUUCUAAUGUCAAGUUUGAGACCAACUUGCAAGAUGAUGUGAAAACCAAGCUUGAACACACAAUUACAGUUCAAAACACAAGCAAAAUUUAAAGCAUAACAAGGAGCACAAGAAGUUCAACAACAAUCUAUGGAUCAAAUUCGAGUCCUCAAAGACCAUCUAUGCAUCAAGACUUGAAAGGUCACUGUCACUACCAAUGCUUCCACAAAUUAUUCGUCAUGGUCGCUGCAUGAGAAAAGGUUGCAUUAUUGUAUGACUUUACUGUGCAUGCAUUCAAUAAAUAUGUACAAGUAAUUAGUAUAAUGAAUAUAUACUAAAUAAAAAUAUGAAAAAACUGUGAAAAAAAACUUAUUUGAUUAACUGCUAUAAAAUUAAUAUUUGAAAAUUGGCAUGUGUUCUCGAAACUAAUAAAAGCAAGUUUGGAAAUGCCUUUAUUUUGUCUUUGUUGAGUGUAGUGUAAAUUGGGAAAUAUAGAAUGCUUAAUUAUGUUGUUAAUUAAUAAGAAAAUUAUUUUAGAAGUUUUGAUGAAUGUCCAACUACAUGUGGAAAGAAUUAUAAAGGAUUGAAAAAUGAUUCUAUAAUCUAGCCCAAACAAGAGGUGGGUUAUUAUAGCUCACUUCACUUCUAUUUAGUUUGGGACCCAAAUAGCCUCUUAAAAUUAGGUUAACUCCAUAACUAAUAAGGGUCUUUAACUCAUAUAGUCUAAAUUGCUAUAUGAUAUUACAUGAAUGAUCCAAAUUACUAAUAAAUUUCAUAAAAGUCCUAAAUGGACUAGUAUAUUACAUAAAUGUAGGCUCAAAUUACUUUAAUACCAAUUUAUAUUAUUUAAUUGAUUUAUAACAAAUAUCUAAAUGAAAAAAACCGUGGGAUAUAGUUUUGGAAAGAAGUGGGGUCCAAAUUAAUUUAAUAUCAACUUCUAUUAUUUAAUUUAAUUGAUUUAUAACAAAUAUCUAAAUGGAAAAAAUGGUGGAACACCGUUUUGGAAAUAAGUGGGGUCCAAAAUAAUUUAAUACAAAUUUUUAUUAUUUAAUUGAUUUAUAACAAAUAUCUAAAUGGAAAAAAUAAAGAGAUACAGUUUUGGAAAGAAGUGGAAAACUUUUCAUGCUUUCCUUCCACGAAAAUGGUUGUCUACUCCUUUCAACGUGGAUUACGAUUUUUACUUCAAAAUUUUAGAGAGUUCGGAGGUGAAGAAGAAGACAGUCGACGACCGACAAAUACAAAACUUCUCGAACAUAAUCUAGUUAAAAACUUUGAAGUUAGUAUUGUAUAUAUUCAACACAUAUGAAACAUUAGAUAUAUUAUGUAUAUUUUAGACAUUCAAUUAAAUAGUCAAUCAAAUGAAAAUGUAGUUUUGAAUGUGAUACAUUUUAGGGUUUAUUGAGAUUUCGGCGGUGAAGAAGAAAACUUUUGAUGGCCAAAAAAUACAAAACUUAUCCGACAGAAUCUAACUAGAAAAUUUGUGCUUAAUAUUAUAUAUAUUCAAAACAAAUGAUUAGAAACAUUUAGUAUAUUAGGUAUAUUUUAAAUAUUCGAUUAAAUAGACAAACAAAUGAAAAUAUAUGAAACAUUUGGUAUAUUAGGUAUAUUUUAAAUAUUUGAUUAAAUAGACAAACAAAUGAAAAAUUAGUUUUGAAUGUGAUACAUUCUAGAGUUUAUUAAGAAUUCAACGUUGAAAAAGAACGGUCAUCCUAUCAAAAAAAUAAUAGAACUAUAUAUAUAAUAUGAGGUAUAUAUAUAUAAAACAUAGAACAUAACUAUUAUAGAUUACGGAUAUAUUAAAGUAUAAUGUAAUCAAAUACAUUUAUAAAGGAAAAAUAUGUAUGUAUGAUCAUGUCGUUUACUACCGUUUUAGUAAUAUUUAUUCUACAAACACAAAUUCUGUAGGAAUUAUGUAUAAGGUAUUAUUGUAUAUAAUAUGAGGUAUAUAUAUACUAAAUAACAUGUAUGAAUUAAGUGUACAUUUUAUUAGUGAAAGGUUCUUAUAUCAAUUUGUUUAUGAUUUUUAUUUAAAUAUUCAUAUAUUAUGUAGUAAGUAAUACGUUAUGUUUGAAAUAAUAUUGAUUAUGUAUUAAAGUUGCCAUUAGACAGUUUUUUAACAAAAUAUACCUAUUAUAUUAAUAUAGAAAAUGGGAGGAAAUCGUGCAACAUUAAAAUAGGAAACUUCUUUACCAUUUUCUCACUUUCCAUAUUCAACGAAAAGCUUGCCAUUUCGACAGUCAAUGACAUAUACAACAUAUUAUAUAAUGCGAUAAUAUUAUAAAACUAGUAUAAUCAUAAAUAAGAUGUGAUAUAUAUUUAAGGGAAAUAUUAAAAAACUGAUAAAUUCAUAAUAGAAUAACGUUAAAAUAAGGAGAAUAUUGUUAAUAUAAUAUAUAUACGCAUAUGAUAUACUCAUAAUGAACUAAUUUUAAAUGGGUAAAAUAACAAAUGACAUAUUUAUGUUAUUCUUCAUAUAAAACAUCAACUAAAAUAAUAAAGUAUUAUAUCUCACGGUUAAUAUAUAAAACUAUUAUAAAUGUAAACAAGAUGUGAUAUAUAUAUAUAAUAAAUCACAUAUACAACCUAUUAUAUCAUGCGAUAAUAUUUAAAACUAGUAUAAUCAUAAAUAGUAUGUGAUAUAUGUUUAAAGGGAAUAUUAAAAAACUGGUAAAAUCAAAAUAGAAUAACAUUAAAAUAAGAGGAAUAUUGUUUAUAUAUACUAUAUCUCAUAUAUAUACUCAGAAUGAACUAAUUUUAAAUGGGCAAAAUAACAAAUGACUGUGGAUUUUAUCUUAUCUUUAGGUGAUGGACAAUUGUAUAUGACGGCGAUUUGUUAAGAUUCUGCAGCUUACGGUUAUGAUAAAUUUGAAUACAAAUUUAUAAAACAAUGUAAUAAGAAGUUCAAAUGAUGGAGAAGAAUAGCAAAAAACAGUUGUCGGCGAUGGAGAAGAUAAUGUAAUGGCUGCCAGAGAGAGUGAACAAUUAGGUUAAGUUAUAUUUUUAGAAAGAAUAAUUAAAUAGUUUAUUACAAAAUAAAGUAAAAUUACAAUUAUUAUAAUAUAUUCUGAUUUAUAAUUAAUUUAAAAGAUACUUGAAAUUUAUUAACAUAUUAAGGUCUUUUGUCUAAAAGUUUCAACUAAUAAUAAUGAUAGUUGUAAAGCCCCAAAGGUAAAAAAAAAAAAUGUAUAUUUUACAUUUUCUUUUUAUAUAUUUUUAUAUAUAUAUUUUAUUUUAUUAAUUUAAAUAAAAAGAAAUGAAAAAGAAAAUCCUUAUUUAUAUAUUUUUUCUUUUCUUUUCUUUUUUUUUCUCUCUUCUUCUUCCUCCGUGCGCCGCGACCCCCACCCGUCCUCUUCUCCUUCCCGUUCGCAUCAAUCGCCGCCCCAUCCGUUCUCUUCUCUUUCGUUCGCAGCAGCCGUCGGCCGCCGCGUCUCCCCUACUGAAGCCGAGCGCCGCGACCAUUCCUUUCUCCUCUUCUCUUCAGUUCGCAAAGCAGCUGUACGCGUCCAAAUCUGUCGUCGUCCAGAUCUGCACCGCAAGACCUUCCGUCGUUGCGACCGUUGCUCUUUCUCCGCUGCCCAGCCGUCUCAGCCGGUUCUGUCUCCGUCGAAGCCACGGUUCUGCAACCGUCUCCGCCGGUUCUGUCUUCGUCGAAGCUAAGGCCCCCGCGUGAACCAGUAACCGCUACGCUCUCCGCUCACAACCGCCGCUCCACUUGCUAUCGACGUCGGUCGACUAGUUGCUGUAACCGUUCAGAUUUGCUGUAACCGUUCAGAUUCGCGGUCUGUUCGCGACGGUCUCCAUCCGUGAAGCCCAGCCGCCACGUUCCCUUUGGCCGACCGCUGACCGACCCACACUUAGGAUUUUGCUGCAAGUUCGACAGUCGUGCGUUGAGGUGUUGGGAGUAACGUUAGGCUCCCUUGCAUUCACAACCAGUUUGUGAGUUGUUGAGGGUUCAGUUCGCCAAUAUAUCGGUGAGUUGGAACUUACGUUGAGGAAAGUAAGUGAGAUAUGUAUCGUGAAAGUAAUUGAAUUUUGUGUUGUUGUGCUUAGGAUUGUUUCGAGGACGUUAGUUGAUUAAGGAGCUUCCCCAACUUUGAGGUAAGGGAUUUUCUACUGGACUCAAUUGUGAUUGUGAACUGUGAUUGUGAACUGCAUGUGUGUUGAAUGUAUACUGUGGGCUAACUGAAAAUAUAUAUGAAUGUAUAUGAAUUGAAGUAGACUUGACGUCAAAUGUAUAUCGUGAUUGUCAUGGAAUCUAUAUAUAAAUGUGUGUGUGUGGACAGGACGGAGAUUGUAGAUUGUGUUUGUAUGAGAUGCAGAUGUGAAUCUUGUGAUUUUCGUUUAGAUUGGGUGUAUGAUUACGCUAAAGUAUGACUGUGUGCUGGUGAACUGAGGGGUGCAUUGACUGUAUAGUGGAUUGACUGUAUAGUGGAUUGACUGAUGUAUUAGCAUAUUAUUGACAGACAUAUGACUGUAGUAAAAUAAGUUGACUGUUAGGAUGUUGAAAGAAAGAACUUUGUGACUUGAAGUAACUGAAAGAUGGGUUGAAUGGAAUGAGGGGAUAAAUUGUUAGAUUGUAUUGGGAUGUUUACCUUGUAGGUGUCCCACGGGAUCACCAAUUUAUUGUGCACCUUCAAGAGCAUUUGACUGAUAUGUGUUUCUGCAGAACACUAGACUGAUAUGUACGUCCCUCGGGGCGUUAGACUGAUAUGUACGUCCCUCGGGGCGUUAAACUGAGAUCUGUAUCCUACGGGAUCACAAGACUGCGAAUGUACAGAGUGUCCCAAUAGAACUUUAACAAUUUACUUUCCCCUGACGAGACCAGUAGAGGGUCUCUUACUGAGUAUUGUUAUACUCACCCUUCUUAUGUUUAAUUUUCAGGCAAAGGUAAUAAAGGCGGCAAACCGGCGAAGGGCAGGAAGGAAGCGUGAUUGACAUAGGAAAUGUGUCAUUUUGCUUCCGCUUAUGGUUUCUUUUGAGGUUUAAGAUGUACUAAAACUUAGUUUACAAACUUUUAUUUGUAAAUAGUGUUAUUUUUAAGUUUUCUUGAACAUUUGAAAAUCAGGCCUGACAUAAAUUGUUUUUAAAUUGACUUACGUUUCAUUUUGUAUCAACCAAAGUCUUUUGUUAAAAAUUAACGACCUCGACUUACCUAGAAAAGUUGGGUCGUUACAAUAGUUCUCAUUAACCAAUUGACAAAUGAAUGAUAUUGUCAAAUGAUCGAUAUUGUCAAAUGAUCGAUAUGUGCAAGUGCACAUUUCAAUUAUAUUAUAGUAAAACGUUCUUAGAGAUCGAGCUAGUAUCCUUUUAAGAGGGAUCAAAUUAACAAAUUAAUUUAUUGAUUUUAGGAUUAGGAUGUGUUUUAAGGAUAAAAACAAUGAUUAGAAACUAAUUAACUACAAGUUGUUGACUUUUGAAAAGAAUAUCUUUCCAUUCAAACAUAAUUGUUCCUAAUCUCUUCCAACUAAGUUAAAUAUUAUGGUAUUAAACAGAUACAUAGUUUGGUUGGUAGUUUCUCUUCAAAAUUAUUAUUUUGAGAAAACAAAUACAAUUUCUUUUUAUGUAAUCCAAUAUCCUCAAGUAUAUUUAUAAAUAUGGAAAUAUUAUUUCCAUAUUAGAAGAGAUACUAAAAGAUCUUAUUACAACAUCAUUAGAGUCCCAUCAUUUUCUCUAAAUAUCUCUUUUGUGGUGAAAGAUUUGGAAUUGCACAUCAAUCAUUUUGGAGUGGGUAAUUGAUCACCCUAUUUUUCAAAAAAUAAGAAAGAUAAAAAAUAGUUAUUUUUUUAAAGAUAUAUUUGAAAGUGUUGAGUUUAUGGAAGGUAUUAGUACUUAUACAACCACGAAACAUUUGAUUUUUGUUAUCUAAAUUAUUUUAAUAAAAAUGUUUUUUUUUUUUUUUGAAGUUUAUGCUUAUUAAAAAUGCUUAUUUAAAAAAUGUUAAUGAAAUUUUAAAAAAUAAAAUCUAAUUAAACACUUCUGAGAUAGAGAGGUUUCCCUUGACUACCCGAGCGUAGAUAAACACUUCUGAGAUUUGGUUGGUAAUCCUAAGUUCGUGUGCAGUUGAUUAUUUUUUAAAUUUUGUAUAGUUGAAUAAUAUUUGAAUUUUAAAUUUUCAUCUAUGUGAUAUUUACUCAUUUCAAACUUUUUGAAUAUGCAUGUUUAUUUAUUAUUCUGUCGUCUCUCUAUUGUAUUUUAAAAUAUAGAAUAUGUGUAUUUAUAUUAUUUGAAAUUGAAAAUUUAACUUUUACUCUUAGAGUAGGCUUUAACUCUUUGUUUGUCCGUGUUGUAGGUGAGCGAGAAGGAAAAGUUCCAUUGUUUGAUUGAAUUGGAAUUGUUUCCUGCAUGGGGUGUCAUACAUAAUUCCACUUAUUACUAGUUGAAGGUCUUCUUUGCCUCUGUCUUCUUCCCCAUCUCCCCAAGUUGUUCUAACCUUUUUAUAUCUACCUAUUACAUGUCAAAAGGUUCGCUCUUCAAUGUUUUGAAACAAGUUCAUUAUGAAAAUCUCUCACAAGCAAACGUAUGUGCAUUAUGAAUAAUUUCAUCUCAAAAAAAUUGUUUGAGAGGUUUCAAAAGUGUAUCGAAACUAAUAAUUUUAAUGAAUAAAAAAAUAAUUCUUCGUUAGAUUCUUACAUUUUAUUUCAACGAACAAAAUUUAGGAAAAUUUUUAAAAAUAGCAAAUUUUACAAAAAUAUUUACAAUUUAUAACAAAUUUAUAGUCAUUGAUAUGAUAUAACGAUAGUUACUAAUAAAUAUUUUAAUUUAUUUUGUUAUUUUUAAAAAUGCUCAUAAAAUAUUAUAGUGAGGGAACAAUGAUGAAUCACAUAGUUCUUGUGGUGAUGUCGCUUUUUCUCCCUCUUUACAUUCUAAAAUCUCAAAUACAAAUCAUAAAACAAGUAGAUAUACAUUCAAUUAGCAUGAUUUUGAUUCUAAUAAAUUAGAAAGACAAAAAUAACUAACUAAUUAUGGAAAAGUAAUAUUUUAACAUGAAUUAUUGAUUUUUAAUUAGAGGUAAUUUUAAAAUAAAUAAAAUAAAAGAAAAUAUUACAAAUCAAAUCUAAACUAACUUUGAUUUUACUUCUUUAAUUGCAAUAUAACAUAGAUACAUUGGCUAUGAAGUGCAAUUUCUUAUAUUAUAAUAUUUAAAAGAUUUAAAUUUAAAAAUAAAAAUAAGUAAUCUCAAGUCCAAUAUUGGACCCGUGGGCUUAGCCCAUCAAUUUAAAAAUUCAAAAUGCACACUCAACCGUCACAUUUUCCUAGGAUCAUCCUAUUUAAUGCCCUUCUACUUGUCAACUCCAUCGAAAUCCUUCAUUUCUUGUGGCACCGUCUAAAAUUUGCUUCGAUUGAAGAAAUUUUGACGCCCAUGACAGCGUUGAAAUUUCUUCAAUGCAAACAAAUUUUUUAUCUUCCUUUCAUCGAGGAUUUUCAUACCAUGUGAAGGAGAGAUCAGUUCCAUCCGUUCCAAGUCGUUCGUGAGUCAUCUUCUUUCCUGUGUAGUUUUCAUCUCUUGAUUUUGGAUUGCUUGUUCAAGAUUUAUUUUCGAAUUUUGGAUUGUUUGCUAUUCGGAUAGGCAGAAGGUUUGCACGAUGAUAGAUCUGGAGUACCUGAAUCGUUUAUUGAUUCUGUAGUUUAAUCUUAUGAUUUUGGUGAUUUCGAAGCGUACAAUAUAAUCGUACUGUGUUAUGAAGUAAAUAAGAUUUUGUAGGGUUUUUGAAAGUUAAUUUAGAUAUUUCCUGCAUUUUAGUCUUGAUAGAUCUGGGGUACCUGAACCGUUCAGGUUUGCAUGCUGUGAUUGUGUUGUUCUUUUUUGAUUUUGGAGAGAGUCCUUGGGUAAUUUUGAGGAUUGUUCUUUUUUUAGUUUUUUUUUGCAUGCAUUCAAACACACGCAUGGUUUUUAAACUGGGGUUCUUGAAUAUUUGUUGGUUUUCUCGAAUAUUUGCCGGUUUUUUUUUCUCAGAAGAAUUGAUCUUAUAUUUGUGUAUCUCUCUGUGCAACUUUAAUAUAAAGUUAUUAAGGAAGAAGAGAAAGGAGGAAGAAGGGAGAGAGAAAAGGUAGAAACGACCUAAUAGUAGGCAUGAGUAUUAAGAUGCAGCAGAGCCACCACUUAGUGGCGCUAAGGUUUAAUGAGCAAAUUGACAGUAGAAAAGGGUCCACAUCCAUACCUAAGUUACUAUUGCUCUGGGUUCUGUUGGUGGCAUUCAUUAGUAUGUUAAACUACAAAGAAAUGGAUGGGUGGGUGUUAACAAAGUUAGAAGAAAGUAAGUUCUGGGAAGUAUGUGUGACCAGACGACAAAGAUGUUUCUUAGUGUCAGUGUCAAACUAUGUCCAGGCUUUGGCCAUUCUCAUUUCCAUUUUCCAGUACUUCAAAAUCGUAUCAGCAAUUGAUCAGGAAAAUGUGUUUCGAUUUCUGUCUUUUAUUAGUCUCGGUUAGUUAGGCUUAAGAGUAAGGGAUAUAAUUCAUUUUUCUUGUUUCAGCUAGAAAUUACGUCGAUGUCUUGAUUUUUAGUUUUUUUAGGGCUGUUUGGUUGUUUUUUUAGGGGUGUUUGGUUAGUUAGGCCUAAGAAGUAAGGGCUAGUGAAAGAGAAGCAUUUGAUUGUCCUACAAGUAUCUGAAUCGCCAAUGAAAGCAGAGGUUAUUUCCUCUGAAUUUCCACGAAUUGUUCAGGUUUGGAUUCUGUGAUUGUGUUGUUCUGUUGUUCUCUUCUUUAUUUUGGAGUGUUCUAGGAAAUUUUGAGGUUUGUUAUUUUUUAGUUUUUUUGGCUUGCCUUUAAUCACGCUCGUUUGGGAAUAGACAGGCUUCAGAGAAUGAAUCUCCUUUUUAAGGGUUCGUUGGGGAGCGAAGUGACCAUAUGGCAUCCCUUUCUGCACCUGCUCAGUCUCUCUCUUGCCUUUUUCAUACUACAUAUUUUUGUUUCUCAAUUUAGUGUCAGUGUCAACCAUGUCUAUGCUUUGGCCAUUCUCAUUUCCACUUUCCACUACUCUAAAAAUGUAUCUGCAAUUGAUCAGGUAAAAGUGUUUCAAUUUUCUGUCUUUGGUUCAUCUCCGUUAGUUAGUCUUAAGAGUAAGGGAGAUAAUUCGUUUUUCUUGUUUCCCUCCAUGUAUUGAUUUUUAGUUUUUUAGGGAUGCUUGGUUGGUUUGAAUGCACGAAACAUUUGCUGGUACACGAUUCAAACAGCUUGCCCAGUCAUGUUUUUCUAUUUUUUUUUAAUAUUUUGGAAUUUUGCAUGUGUGAUUUCUGUAUAUAUUAUUCUUGCCCUUUUCCUUUAUCAUCAUUUAUUUUGAUUUUGGAGAGGUCUCUUGGUUAUUUGUUAUUUGCACAUAUACAAGGGUUGAAAAUUUCAAUCCCACCUCUCUUUUAUAUUACAUUCAUUUAGUUUUGGCUGUUAUCUAAUUGAACUAUUUGAUCAUCAAAUAAUUGUGUUACCUUUUCUUCUAGAUGUUUAGAUUCAUUUUUCUCACUCUUUUAGUUUUCUUAAUGUGUGACAGUCUUUGUUUUUUAUUGAACUAUUGUGUGGCAGUCUUUAUUUAUUGGUUAUCUUUAGUUUCACUAUUGUUCUUUUUUUAAUGUUUUCUUAGUUUUUAAUAAGUGUGACAAAAUAUGAAUUAAUUUUUUUCUUUGAACAAAUGUGGAAUUUAUUUUCUUUUAAUGUAGUUGUGUCCCCAAUAAAUUUAUUUUGGCGAUUUAACAAUCCAUCAUGUUCUUUUUCAUUUUUCUGUUGUAUUUUCUUCGGUUCUUUGUUGUGGUAUGUCUAUUUUUGAGACAUUCUUAAUUUAGUUUUAUUUCUUUUAGCUUCCUGCAUCAUUUUGUAUUAUGGAUUGUUAUGAAAUUUUGAGAUUAUGCUUUAUUUUGUUUUUUGGUCCUUUGCUGUGAUGUCUUUUGAUUAUUUAUUUUGAGUGAACAGUUCAUGUAAGAUUUUCUGCAUGAGAAUAAAUUGAUUAUUUAAUUUGGUCAAAGAAGUUCAAAAUUUACAUGUGAAAUUUACACUCAGUGGCUGUAAGGUUUAAUGAGAAAAUUGGAAGUAGAAAAGAGUCCACAUUAAUUCAUUCAGCCAAGAGGGCUUGGCAUCCUAAGUUUGCUCUGGGUUCUGUUGGUGGCAUUCAUCAAUAUGUUAAUCUAUUAGGGAAUGUAUGGUUAUAACAAAGUAAGAAGAAUGGAAGUUCUGGGGGAGUAUUUGUGACAAGAGGGCAAGGAUGCUUCUGCAUCAAUUUAGUGUUAGUCAAUCAUGUCUAUGCUUUGGCCCUUCUCAUUCCACUUUCCACUACUACAAAAAUGUAUCUGCAAUUGAUCAUGUAAAAGUGUUUCAAUUUUCUGUCUUAGGUUCAUCUCAGUUAGUUAGUCUUAAGAGUAAGGGAGAUAAUUCAUUUUUCUUGUUUCAGCUAGAUGUUACCCUCCAUGUCCUGAUUUUUAAUUUGGCUUCCUAAGUGUGCUCUAGGUUCUGUUGGUGGCAUUCAUCAGUAUGUUAAUCUACAGGUGAAUCUAUAGUUAUAACAUAGUAAGAAGAAUGGAAGUUCUUGGGGAGUCUUUAUGUGUGACGGUCUUUGUUUUUCAUUGAACUAUUGUGUGGCAGUCUUUAUUUAUUGGUUAUCUUUAGUUUCACUAUUGUUCUUUCUUUAAUGUUUUUCUUAGUUUUUAAUAAGUGUGACAAAAUAUGAAAUUAUCUUUUUCUUUGAACAAAUGUGGAAUUUAUUUUUCUUUUAAUGUAGUUGUGUCCCCAAUAAAUUUAUUUUGGCGAUUUAACAAUCCAUAAUGUUGUUUUUCAUUUUUCUGCUGUAUUUUCUUUGGUUCGUUGUUGUGCGAUGUCUAUUUUUGAGACAUUUUUAAUUUAGUUUUAUUUCUUUUAGCUUCCUGCAUCAUAUUGUAUUAUGGAUUUUUUCGAAAAUUUGAGUUUGAUCUUGUUUUCCUGGUCCACUGCUGUGCAGUUUUUUUUUAUGAGAUAUUUUUAUUUAGAUUUAUUAUCUUUUAGCUUGUUUUGCAUUUUGCAUUAUAGAUUAUUUUUUAAAAUUUUGAGGUUGUUUUUUUUCUUUGAUCUUUUGUUGCGGUGACAAUUUUAAUUUAGAUUUAUUAUCUUUUAGCUUGCUUGCAUUAUGGAUUGUUAUGAAAUUUUGAGAUGAUGCUUUAUUUUGUUUUUUGGUCCUUUGCUGUGAUGUCUCUCUAUAAGACAUUUUUAAUUUAGGUUUAAUAACUUUUAGCUAGCUUGCAUUGUGGAUUGUUAUGAAAUUUUGAGUUUCUGCUUUCUUUUGAGUUUUGGUGAUGCCUUUUUACGAGACAUUUUUUAAUUUAGGUUAAUUUUUUAGGUUGCUUGCAUUUAUGGAUUGUUCUGAAAUUUUGACUUUCUGCUUUUGUUUUUUAUGUCAUUUGUUGUGUGAUAUUCUCUUUAUAAGAUAGAGAUAUUUUUAAUUUAGGUUUACUAUUUUUUAGCCUGCUUGCAUUUGGUAUCAUAUAUGAAUUGUUCUGAAUUUUGAGUUUCUACUUUUUCAGUCAUUUUUUUAGGGCUGUUUGGUUGUUUUUUUAGGGGUGUUUUGGUUAGUUAGGCUUAAGAAGCAAGGGCUAGUGAAAGAGAAGCAUUUGAUUGUCCUACAAGUAAUAAGCUUCUCCUCAAUCAUUCAACCAUUUUUUUAGUAAAGAAAGAGGCUUCUCCUCUGGCAACCAAAGUCCGUCCCUCGUUAACAGGUAAGUCUACCUCAUUACUUUUUAUGUCCUUUUAAUUAAGAUAUUUGGGUCAAUAUAUAUCAAAAUAAAUAAGAUCCAUCUUUGGUAAUUUUUAAAAAAAUUAAAUCUAUAAAUACUCAUUUCAUCUCUAAAAUUAUGUGAUUUGUACUUUCUAAAAUUCCCUCGAUGGUACUAAUACACUCUUAUAUUUGUAUUGUAAUUAUCAUGUCCUUUUUCUAUGGUUUUUUAAAGUUAAUUUAGAUCCUUAUUCGCUCUAGGUAUAAGUUGAAUGGAAGAGUUUUUUAGCCUUGAUGGAUCUUGAGUACCUGAAUCGCCGAUGAAACAGAGGUUAUUUUCUCGAAAAUUCCACGAAUUGUUCAGGUUUGGAUUCUGUAAUUCUGUUGUUCUUUUUUGAUUUUGGAGAGUGUCCUGGGUAAUUUUGAGGAUAUUAUUUUUUUGUUUUUUCGGCUUGCAUUUAAUCACGUGCGUUGGGGAAUAGACAGGCUUCGGAGAAUGAAUCACCUUUUUAAGGUUUCGCUGGGGAGCGAAUUGGCCAUAAGGCAUCCCUUUCUGUUCAGUCUCUCUCUUGCCUUUUUCAUACUAUAUGGUUGUUUGAUCUGGGGUUAUUGAAUGAUUGUUGCUUUUAUUUUCAUAAGAAGUGAUCUUAUAUUUUUGUCUCUCUGUGCAACUUUAAUUUGAGGUUAUUAAGGAAGGAGAUAAAGGAGGAAGAAGGGACGGAGAAAAGGAAGAAAUGACUGGAUUGUUGGGAUGGGUAUGAAGAUGCAGUAGAGCCACCACCUAGGUAAGGUCUAAUGGGCAAAUUGAAAGUAAAAAAGAGUGCACAUCCAUUCAAGCUAAGAGAGCUUGGGUUCCUAAAUUACUACUGCUCUAGGUUCUGUUGGUGGCAUUGAUUGGUAUUGUUAAUCUACAAGGGAAUUGAUGGUGUUAACAAAGUUAGAAGAAAGGAAGUUUUGGGCGUAUGUGUGACCGGAGCACAAAGAUGCUUCUGCAUCAAUUUACUGUCAGUGUUAAACUAUGUCCAUGCUUUGGUUUAUUUUCUAUUUUCUACUUUCCACUCCUCUCGAAAUGUAUCAGCAAUUGUUCAUGUAAAUGUGUUUCGAUUUCUGUUUGAUACUUCUCAGUUAGUUAGGCUUAAAAGUAUGAGAGAUAAUUCAUUUCUCGUCUCAUAUAGAAAUUAUCUUGAUGUCUUGAUUUUUAGGGUUUUUUUCAGCGGUUUUUGGUUUUUUUUUUUUUUUUUUUGGAUUUUGGCUAGUUAGGCUUAGAGGUGCAAGGACUUGUGAAAGAGAAGCAUUUGAUUGACCAACGAGUAAUUAGUUUCUCCUCAAGCAUCCCACCACUUUUCUAUUAAAGAAAUACAGGUACGUCUACGCUAUUACUUUUCAUGUCCUUUUACUUAAGAUAUUUAUAUAAAUAUAUAUAAAAAUAAAUAAGAUCCAUCUUUGGUAAUUUUUUUUAAAAUCAAAUCUGUGAAUAUUCAUUUCAUCUCUAAAGUUUUGCGUUUUGUUACUUUUUAAAAUUCCCUCCAUGUUACUAUUACACUCCUAUAUUUGUGUUGUAAUUAUGAUGUCCUUUUUCUAUGGUCUGUUAAAGUUAAUUUAAAUCCUUUUUUGCUCUUGGUUUAUGUUGAAGAAAUGGAAGAGUUUUUUAGCCUUAAUAGAUCUGGAGUACCUUAAUCGCUCUUGCAUUUUGUGAUUCUGUUCUUUUUCUAUUUUGAAGAGUGUCCUGAGUAAUUUUUAGGAUUUUUAUUUUAUAGUUUUUGUCGCUUGCAUUUAAACACGAACUUGGUUGUUGAACUGGGAUUCUUGAAUAAUUGUUGGUUUUGUUUUCUGAAGAAGUGAUCUUAUAUUUGUGUAUCUCUAUGUGCAACUUUAAUAUGGGGUUAUUAAGGAUGGAGAUAAAGGAGGAAGAAUGGAGAGAGAAAAGGCAGAAAUGACUUAAUUGUUGGGAUGAGUAUGACCCCAUGUCUAGUAGUUCCCAAGUAUGAUAUAGGAAGGCAGAGAGUCAAGGCCUUGUCUGACUCUAAUAGAAGUAAGUAGCUAACGCAACGCAAUAUUCUUUGCACCUUCAGUCUGUGAAUCUGAGGAGCAAGAGUUUGGCCAGAGGAGCUAGUCUCGUAACUGCGGGCGCAGUUCUAGUUCUUUACAAGACAGAUGGGAACUGUAGCUAACAAGUGUGCCCUGAGUGGAAUCCUACCACUACUCUUUCUACUAUAUUGGCAGGACGGGUGCCAAGUUAUUAGUAGCUAGGCAGCUAAGCCAGUAGUAGUUCAGUUCAGGUGCUGUUCUCAAACCUAGUUGACUACGUUGUAGCGUAGCGGUACGGGACAGAAAAAGAAUUGAUAGCGGUACACUGAACACAAAGAAAUUUGAUAGACAUAUGUUGAGAGUUCGACAAGUAGCACUGAAUCUACUAUCAGUAGUGAUUUAUAGAAGUUGACUCGCUUAAACGAAGAGAGUGAACAAAGCAUAGCGGAGUGAAGAGAGAAAUGGUUUCAUUAGAUAGCUCUCUCGAUGUCCUUGUUAUCUUUCCUAGGUAGAUUGUGACUUAUUCAUUCUUUCUCGCUGACUCUAGUUUCCCCGCCGUGGAUCCUUUCUCGGUUAGGGCUGUAAUUUAGAAUUCAGAAACGUAUCUGUCUUAUUAUCUUUGAGUCAAAGCAAUGUUACAUAUUUAUAUAGAGAAUAAACUAAACCCUAGAGACUAUGUAAAAUUACAAUAAAGGACAUAUGUGUAUAUAUAUAUAUAUAUCAUAACACUCCCCCUCAAGCUGGAGCAAAUAUGUCGAUCAUGCCCAGCUUGUUGCACAGAUAGCUUAUCCUUGUUCCAUUUAAAGCUUUAGUUAGAAUAUCUCCCAAUUGUUCUCCGGUCUUCACAUAUCCUGUGGACACCAACCCAUCUUGGAUUUUCUCACGAAUGAAGUGACAAUCCACCUCAAUAUGUUUAGUUCGUUCAUGAAAUACUGGAUUAGAUGCAAUAUGAAGUGCAGCUUGAUUAUCACACCAUAAUUUAGCUGGCACGGUAAUACUGAAGCCUAUCUCAGAUAAUAGUUGGUGAAUCCAUACUAUUUCACACACAGAUUGUGCCAUAGCUCUAUAUUCUGACUCAGCACUCGAACGAGAAACAACAUUUUGUUUCUUACUCUUCCAUGAAACUAAGUUUCCACCUACAAAAACACAAUAUCCAGAAGUCGAUCUCCUAUCCUCACGAGACCCCGCCCAAUCAGCAUCAGAAAAACAUUCAACUCUCGUAUGUCCAUGAUCUUUGUAUAGGAUCCCACGUCCAGGAGCAGCUUUUAGAUAACACAAAAUCUGCUCUACUGCAGCCCAAUGAUCCACUGUAGGGGAAGACAUGAAUUGACUUACAACACUUACAGAAUAUGCAAUGUCUGGUCGAGUCACUGUUAAGUAGUUCAACUUCCCAACUAAUCUCCUAUAUCUCUCAGGAUCUUUACAUAAUUCUCCUUCUUUAACAAGUUGCUGAUUUGGCAUCAUUGGAGUGCCACUUGGUUUGGCGCCUAAUUUUCCUGUUUCAGACAACAAAUCAAGUACAUAUUUUCGUUGAGACAAAUAAAUACCUUUCUUGCUUCUCAUCACUUCAAUGCCCAAAAAAUAUUUCAAUUGGCCCAAAUCUUUUGUAUAAAACUGACCCUGAAGGAAAGUUUUGAGAGACGAAAUACCCAAUGCAUCAUUUCCAGUAAUAACAAUAUCAUCAACAUAUACAACUAGUAGAACUAUACCCUUCUCAGAUCGGCGAUAGAAAACUGAAUGAUCAGAUGUACUCUUCUUCAUACCAAAGCAUACAAGGGCUGACUAAACUUACCAAACCACGCACGAGGACUCUGUUUCAAACCAUACAGAGAUUUUCGAAGGCGACAUACUUUAUCACUCUCCCCCUGAGCAACAAACCCUGGUGGUUGUUCCAUAUAAACUUCCUCUUGAAGAUCACCGUGAAGAAAAGCAUUCUUAAUGUCAAGUUGAUGCAACGACCAUUUAUUGGUAGCAGCCAUGGAAAGAAAUAGGCGAAUGGAAGUUAACUUGGCAACCGGAGAGAAUGUAUCUGAAUAAUCAGUGCCAUAGAUUUGAGCAUAACCUUUGGCAACAAGGCGAGCCUUUAAACGAGCCACUGUUCCAUCAGGAUUCAUCUUGACAGCAAACACCCAUUUACAACCAAUGGCCUUCUUUCCUGCAGGACGAGAUACCAAAUCCCAAGUAUCAUUAUCAUCUAAAGCAGUCAUCUCCUCAAUCAUUGCAUUUUGCCAGCGAGGAUGAGACAAAGCUUCAUGAACAGAGUUAGGAAUAGAUGUGGACUCAAGAGACGUAAUAAACGCAUAUGUGGAGGGAGAUAACUGGUGAUAGGAAAUAAAGGAAGAAACGGGGUAAGUACACUUGCGUUUACCUUUGCGAAGAGCAAUGGGAAGAUCAUCACUUGGCGCUGGAUCACAUGAUGAAGGAAGCAUUGAUGGAGGACAUGAGUCUGAAGGUUGUGGUGGAGGUCGUCGGGAGUAGACUUGAGAAAUCAACGGGCGGGAAGGAGGCACAUCAGUAGACAAGGAUGGUGUGGGAGAGGUAACCUCAUAUAUAAAAAGAUUGUCAUCCUCCCCCUGACACAAACUCGAUGGUGAUGAAGUAAAGGGUGUAUCUUCAAAAAAGACAACAUCAGGCGAAACCAGAUACCUUUUAAGGGUAGGACAAUAACAACGAUAACCCUUUUGAACACGUGAAUAACCCAAGAAGAUACACUUCAAGGAUUUGGGAUCUAACUUAGUAUGAUGAGGACGAACGUCACGAACAAAACAGACACAACCAAAUAUCUUAGGAGCAAUAGGAAACAAAUGCUUGGUAGGAAAAAGAACACGAUAGGGAAUCUCACCAUUAAGAACAGAGGAAGACAUUCUAUUAAUCAAAAAACAAGCUGUAGAGACAGCAUCAACCCAAAAGAUUUUUUAAACAUGCAUUUGAAACGAUAAAGCACGGGUAGUUUCAAGUAAAUGCCUAUUUUUCCGCUCUGCAACACCAUUUUGAGAUGGAGUGUCAGCACAGGAAGAUUGAUGAAUAAUGCCAUUUUCACACAAGUAAGAGCCAAGAGAAUGAGAAAAAUAUUCACCCGCAUUAUCAGUACGCAAAGUUUUGAUAGAGACAUUAAAUUGGUUUUUUAUUUCAGUAUGAAAGGCACAAAAAUGAGAUAAUAACUCAGAACGAUUUUUCAUUAAAUAUAACCAAGUUAGACGAGAAUGAUCGUCAACAAAAGUAACAAAAUAACGAAAGCCUGUUUGAGAUACAACUGGACACGGACCCCAAAUAUCAGAAUGAACUAACUCAAAUGGAGCAAUUGCUCGUUUAUCGACUCGAGGACUCGAACUAAGACGAUGAAAUUUCGCAAAUUGACACGAAUCACAAUUUAAAGAGGACAAAGACCUAAAUUCUGGAUAAAGUUUCUUCAACACGAACAAAGAUGGAUGACCUAAACGACAAUGGACUUCAAAAGGAGAGGGAACGACAGGACACGCCACAGCUUGCGAUACUUGAUGAUCAAAGAGAUAAAGGCCUCCUGACUCAUAUCCUCUACCAAUAAUCUUCUUCGUCACACGAUCCUGAAACAAGCAAUAACCAGAAAAGAACAUGACAACACAAUUUAGGUAGGUCAUGAGUAAGUUGACUAGUAGAAAUUAAAUUAAAGGAUAAGUUAGGCAAAUGUAACACAGAAGAGAGUGAAAAUGAUGGGGUAAGGUGAAUAGUGCCAGAGCCAAGAACAGAAGAUGUGGAGCCAUCGGCCAAUGUAACCGAUGGAAAAGGGGCAGGGGACAACGGUCUAGAAAAUAGGUGAGAAUUACCUGUCAUAUGAGCUGUGGCACCAGAGUCUAUGACCCAUUUGGUAGAUGAUGUAAGAAGACACUUUAUAUUACCUGGGGCAACAGUGGAUGCAAUCAGAGUAGAGGAAGAUGACGCUUGUAAUGACUCUUGGUAAUUCUGAAACUUAGCAAACUCAUCUGCCGAAAUAGUAACUGACGCCUCUGGUAUAUCACAUGUGGAGGCUAUCUGAGCAUGUUGAGAUCGUUGACUAUUCUUAUAUAGCAAUUUCUGACAAUCACGUUUCAUAUGGCCUGGCUUACGACAGUAGUUACAAACAAUCUCUACAGACUCUGGUUUUCGAUGAUCAGUACUAUUCCUCUGAGGUGCCCGAGGGUUAUUGUUAUUGUUCUUGCUAAAGAGAGCACUACUGGGUUGAGGAAUAGACACACUAGUCGGAGAGCUUUCAAUGCGAAGGACUCGAGUGAAGGCAUCAUCUAAUGAUGGAAUCUUGGAGUCAGAGAGAAUCUGUGUCUUUGCCAUUCCAAAUUCAGGUAAGAGUCCAUUCAGGAAAAUCAUAACAGCCAUCUUCUCUCGUUGAACUUGUUGAACUUUAACAUCAGGACUAAAAGGUAACAACAAGCCAAGCUCGACAAUGAUCUUCUUAAGCCGCAUAAAGUAGCUGGUGACAGACUCAGCUUUCUGUUCCGCACGAGAAAAUUGCAUACAAACUUCAAACAUUCUAUGCACUUGCUCUUUACCUGAGUAUAGAAAAUCCAAAAAUUCCAAAAGUUCUUUAACAGACUCACAGUGAUCAACCAAUCCAAUUAUCUCACUCUCAAUUGAAUUCUUGAUCUGAAGAUAUAAACGGGCAUCAUCACGAAGCCAAUCCUUCUUCUGCUUUGCAUCUUUUGGGAGAUCGAGUUUCAAACCUUUAUACACAAAAUUGAAACUCAAAAUUCACUUCCUUCCUUCCGCAAGGCCGAUAUCUUUCAUAGCAAGCAAGGAUGAGUCCAUUAGGUUCUUCGAUUGAUUCGGAAAAGAAAUGAGAGACAAGAAAAGAUCUUUGAUGGAGAUGAAAAGGAAGAAUCUCAAAUAGACCAAGAUCCAAUUUCGGGUCAUUUCUUGGUGAACAUGAUCUGCCAUAAUCUCUUCGAUCCCUGAAUUUAUGUGCCAGAAUAAAGAGAGAUUUGGUAGGAAAGUGGAAGAGACCUUGUGGUAUAUAAUAAUGAGAGGGAGUGGGAAAGCUGCUGUAAUUCUUUGGAAAAGCCCGGUUCUUUUUGUCUUCGAGCUUGAAUUCCUCAAUCCACUCUUUCGUUCUUUCAUAUACCUCCCCACCAAUAGAUAGAGACAAAUAGGAAUAACCGAACCACGUCUACAAAAUGCCAGUACCAUGCAGCUGCUUCAAAGCCAAUGUGAUGCUCCUUGGUCGGAUGACCUAGAUAUUGGCGAAUACCACAUACGAUCAAGAAAAGAGUACCUAUAAUCACAUGAAAACCAUGAAAGCCAGUUGCUAAGAAAAAGGUAGAACCAUAAAUACUAUCCGAAAUAGUGAAGGGUGCUUGAUAAUAUUCCAUUCCUUGAAAGCCUGUGAAUACUAGAGCCAGUGAAACGGUAGCUACUAAAGCGUAAACAGCUCGUUUUUCCUUCCCCGCGAGUAUAGCAUGAUGAGCCCAAGUUACGGCUGCUCCGGAUGAAAGGUGAAUAGGGGUGUUAAGAAAAGGGAUUUCCCGAGGAUCUAAAACCCCAAUCCCUUUUGGGGGCCAAAUAUCUCUGAUCUCUACCGUAGGUGCCAAAGAAGAAUGAGAAGAAGCCCGAAAGAAGCAAAAAGGAACAUAACCUUCGAUACGAUAAAGAGAAUAAAACCAUAUCGAAGUCCUAUUUUUACGACUUUGGUAUGAUGUCCUUCCAACGUGGAUUCACGUAGAACAUCGCGCCACCAUACGAACAUGGUAUAUAGGAGAAAUAUGAGGCCCAAACUGAGAAGUCUUGCACCCCCUUGAAAUGAGUGCAUGUACAUCACACCUCCUACGGUGGUUGCCAAAUGAUAAGAAUGCCUCUGAGAUUCAAUCAUAAACCACUUUGCCUCGGUUGUAUGUAAACCCCCCCUUCACCCCCACCCGCUAAAGUGGUAAAGAAGGGCUCUUUGGGGUCUCAUUUUCUUUCUAUCUGACAGGACUCAAAAAUAGGAAGGGAUGGUUCUUUCAUUGCAUUGAUAGAAGUCUAACUAGAAAAAGAUCUCGUUGCUUUGACCGAGCCCUAGGCUUUCCUUGGAUAGAGCCCUCUAUAUUCCGACUGAUUUAUGGCGUAGAAGGCGGGAAUAGGAAUCACUCAUAUUGCAUUGAGCCUUAACAGUCCGGAGGACUAUCCCGCUCCGUGGGAUUCUUUGAGCCUCACAAUAUUCUUUGCACCUAUCCAUCCACGGCAAUAUUCUUUGCACCUUCGCUCCAAAUAAAGUAAUAGCCGCAACUCAAUUCAUUUCAGCCUUCGCCUAGAAAUUCACUUUGCGACCCACUCUGUAAGCCCACUACACGAGAAGAAAGAAUAUCCUUAGCUAUUUAUCUUUAUUAUCUCUUCUCUGAGAAUAUCCUCUUAUUCUACUAUUAGAAGAAUAUCCUACUUUCAGUUUCUAGUCAAAGAAAGGUCCAGGCGCAGGCGCAAAGAAUAUUGCGAGGUGCAGUCUAAUGGAUAGGACUGAGGGCUCGACUGAAAGGAGAGAAGGCGCAAUUCAAUAUGCGAGGUCCAUAUUCCGACUGAGGAACUGAAACUUCCGCGUAGUGCUUCCCUUGUUCAUUGAUAGUAAUCCUGAAGUUUCUUCUUGGCAUCAAAAUAGAUCAAUGAAAGAGGACUAAAAAUAAGACGAAAGUACUUAUGACGGCUUUCCUUCCCAACAAAUCUUCGUUCUUAGUUAUUUGAUUCCACUUUCAAACUUUCUGGGAGUUGUCUUCUCCUAGGCUUUCUUCUUUCUGGCAGUCUUCUGCCUUGCCGUAGGGAGUAGGUUCAGGAGAACCAUAACCAUAAAUCAGAGAGACGGAGGCAUCAAUCACGCAAUAUUCUUUUGCAC